rnacentral:lncRNA from 1 species
UAAUGGAAUGUGGAUUGUAUUACAAAUAGUGUAUAUUAAUUAGCGAUCAUAUACAGAGCAAUAUAAAUGGGAAUUUCUUAUCUAUAUUGGCCACAAAAGCAUAAAGCUUGUCACCCGAACAUAAGAAAAUAUUUGCGUUAAACAACAAGGUUCUCAAGCAUCAUGUCACCGAUGCCGCAUGCUGGUACAACGUUAAACAACUCGAGCCGCUGCAACAUACAUGCAUCUUCUAUGGAAAUAGAUAUAUACCAAAAAUCCGCGAUAGUGCCAUUGCUCCGGCAUCAUGUCACCGAUGCCGCAUGCUGGUACGGAACUUGAUUGUAACUGCAAACCUCUGUCCAACUUUGCAGCAGAAAAACUGGUUGUGGGAGCUACAGCUUAAUGAACAUGAGUAUGAACUUGUCCGUAAUGUCAACCAUCUCCAUGACAGGAUCUGUGCACACAUAAAAACAAAAUCAAACCAGAUACUGGAACCAUUUUAUGUGCGAGCAAUAAUGAUCUAAAAGUAGAUACUUACAUGGCAUAUUUAUACGUAAUAAAUCAUAUGUAGUAGAUCUAAAGAACAUGCAAGUACGUACUCAGAUAGUAUCUUCAUACAAUGGUUUAUAUUUCUAGUUAAUGCUAGGUUCAGUUCAUGGCUUCAUAUGAGAUAACCUGGCAACCGAGGCACAAAUCGUAGAGAGAUAAAGCUGGCAACUAAUCUGUAUAAUCAUCUUCAAGGAAAGGCAAGAAAAUAGUGUGCAGCAGCAAAGCUUUACUUUUUUUUAAGAAAGCAAAGCUUCAGCUAUUCCUUCAGCAAGGAACCAAAUUCAGAAAUCAAAGUCCAAACAGAGAAUAAAUGUUUCCCUAUAGAGCUUAUAGGCAAGCAGAUCUAAAUACCAAAUGCUAAUGUAAUAUUGGUAUCCAUAAGCAGUAGCUUUAGAUCCUAAAAUUCAUCAGCACUAUAGCCACAUAAUUUUCACUAUUCUGUCUAUUUCCCCUUUCAUAUCAUUCAACUCUUUGUUUAUUGGAUCUUCAUAAACACCAAAAAUCUCAAGGAUUUACAUGCACAUUAGAAAUUAAACUUGCCUUAGCAUUCUAUUUGUAAACUGCACCAAAAGAGAGAAGCCACAGGCAUCUAGGGCGAAGAUGAACUCGCACGUAUGUACACUGGGAAGCAUGCAUAUGAAAGUUAGAAGCAUACGUUUACCUAUGGUUGUAAUCACUAUGAAUAGAAUUAGCAACUACUAUUUAUUCGUUACUUGAAUGGAAUCAACAGUGACUUUCAUGCAUUGCAUAUACGACGGCUGGCCCUAUAUGCCUCCUCUGCCUUAUCUCGUAACUACUACUAAUAAUUGUUGACUGGGCUCGGCUGCUGUCUAAACAAAGACAACUGCAUUCAAGCACAGGGCAGUACCUCCUAAGACUGAACUUUAAUUAACAGAAGCAAGCAUCUGCCAAUUUAUUGAAGGAAGAACACCACACCUGAAACACAACAGGCCUAUCAACUUAAUCCAGACAUAUAAAUCUGUGGUCAGACCACCACCAUCACACCUAAAAACUUAGGAAAAGUCUGUAGUCCAUGUCACAAUUAUAAAUACUCUGUUUUCACCUUAAACUAUCAUAAAAGAGAAAUAAAAAUACAAGAGUAAUAUAAUGUAGACCAAUGCACAACACAUCGGGUGAAGAUUUCCAAAGAUAAGCAAUCAGAUCAGUUCAGUUGCACACAACAUGUUCAUACAACUACUUCCACAAACAGUUCCACAUGUAAUACCUCAGAGCUGGUAAAAAAAGACACAGACAUUAUUGAGGGUUUGUGAUAGGAUGGUAUGCCAUCGACAAGUUAAGGUGAUAAAAAAAUUGGCGUAUUUUCUAUUAUGGGCAAAGAAGCAAGAGUUUCACUAUUACAAGUUGUAAGAAACGGAUCUUCAAAGCAUAUUUUGACAUGUGAAUUGGCUUUUACUCCCUCUGUUCCUAAAUACUUGUCUUUUUAGAGAUUUCAACAAGUGACUACAUGCGGCACAAAAUGAAUGAAUCUACACUUUAAAAUAUGUCUAUAUACAUCCGUAUGUUGAGUCCAUUUGAAAUGCCUAGAAGGACAAGUAUUUGGGAACGGAGGGAGUACAUGGCAAAUAAUUACAGCGAAGAAGUGGUAACCUAUACAUAUAUGCAAUGCAGUCUAAUUCUAGUUCUUUACUGCAUUGUUCUGCAAAAAGUAGGAGCAUCACAAUAUAUUAGUGCAAGUUCAGGACUGCGUUCACUCUUCCUUAAAAAAUUAUGCAAGGUGACUCUGGUAACCAUAUACCAGUUUACAAAAUAUAUAACAUUGAAUCAUAUACCAGUUUACAAAAAUCCAUAUGUUUGUAUUAUUAUUCGAACUAUCUAAUGAAAGAAGGCAGCAACUAACACAUAAAUUCAUUAGAAAGAGAUGGUAUUCCAGAUAGCGCCCCGGACAACGCUUCAUUACCAAGAGAUUAUGCAGGAACUAUAAUGCAAAUACCUGAAGAGAACAUUACCAUAAGCCUUCUUGGAACCAAACUCACACUUUCAUGUUUCAUGCACACAGGUAGUCAAGAGCAAUAAAUAAGAAUCCAUAAUCUGAUGGCAUAAUUAGACAGGAAAGGUUUAGCAUUUGCUAUUCUGUUGUAAAUUAUUGUUUUGAUCACUUGACAAGCACAUGAAGGUUUUAUUUCUUCCAAGCUAUUAUACUCGAUCUUAACAGCAUAUUGAACAUCAAUCUUACCAACUUGGCAACUUACUUAGAUGCCCCAAAAUCGGCAAGCUUAAUGCAGCCUUUGUUAUCAACAAGAAUGUUUGCACCCUGUAAAACAAUCACAUGAUCACCAAGAUAAUUAGCACAACCAAACAAUCAAUGACACAAAGAUUCUAGUAUAUUCAGGCUUCAGAGUUUUUACCUUAAUGUCUCUACGUAUUAUUGCAUUGCUAUGGAGAUAUUCCAACCCUUGCAAAAUCUGCUUAGUAUACUUCCUAAUGACCUGAUCAAAAUACGAAACGAAUUAGUUUCUCUUCUGCGAGUCAAAUCACAGAAAACCGCAUGAUUGAUGGUUACUUACUGCCUCCGGGAAUGAACCGAGUUUUUCAAGAAGCGACUGGAUAGACCCUCCAGGAACAAACUCCAGCAGGAUAUUCAGUGUGUCUUCCUCACGGACAGUCCCGAGGUACCUCUUCUCAAAUCACAGGAAGUAGAUCAAACAACUGCAGUCUAGCAGUCAAGUAUAGAGUAUCUAAAAUGUAAUCGAUCUUUCACCUACUAACCACAAUAUUGGGGUGUGAAAGGUUCUUGAGGAGUUUCACUUCUUCCUCAAGUUCUCUUAUAUGCGCCUAAUCGUAGAAACAAAAGCCACAAAUCACCUCACAUGAAGGAAAGCCUCAACAACUAAAUUGGUAACCAAAUCGGUCGGAGAAGUGCUACUCACUUGGGCCUUACCACGGCUAUCACUUGCAUUACACUGCUAUGCAUAUACUAAUCAUUUGAAUUUAUUCCUAGAAGGUAAAUAAAGAACGGAAGCUUAAGCACAACCACUGAUUUCUAUCAACUUCCCAAAACAAAGCAUCUGAAGCUAUAUUAAUAUGCAAGCCCAGAUUCCCAUAUACUUUAUUAUGGGGGAAAACAACCAUAUCAGAGAUAAACAUGGAUCAUCACUUACUUUUGUUGUUGUUGUUGGAAAGAGCAUGACUUCCUGAUGUGUGCUUCAUUUCGUUCUUCUACAACCGAACUCUAUAAUAAAGAACAAACUAAUAAGGCACACACUCAGUACUGGUAACAUCUGUAAUCGAUGGAUGGUAAUUAUAUUCGAACACCCUUGGAAAGGAAACAUAAACCUGGGUUGAUCGGCGCUGUUCUGAAACAGCUGUAUGCAGGCAGUGGAGAUAGUUGAGCAGGCUGCCAUGCUUGUGACAAAGCGGCUGCUCUGUGCAUAUGUGACAAUUAAGAAGGGUUCAAAAGUUAGCGUGACAACGUGUAUAAUAUCAAAACCGAGACAUAUGUUUACCAUCGACAUCUUCAGCAGCAUCUAACUCUUCUUCCUUGACCGUUACUUCCUGGAAACAAACAGCCAAGCUAUUAAAUCGUUUGAUUUCACUGUAUUUGAUUUGAGAGGAUUAACUGUAAAGCAUCGUUAGAUUCCUGAAUUUGAUCUGUUUAGAAUGAGUACACAGGACAAUGUGCAGAUGUACCAAUCAAGCAUCCGUUUAUACUAUCCAGGAGCUCAGAGUUUAGUAACUCUACUUCAUAUGAUAGCAGGUAAUAUCUAUGGUAGGGCGUAUCUUGUACCCACAAGACUAAUGUCAAUUUGUUUGUAAGACAUGCAUAAUCACUUUUCUUAGCCGACUUGAGGCUAUAAUGAGAAGUUAAAAAACACUAUCUAUUAUAAAUUCUAUUGUAUGCGGCGUGCAGACAUUUAAAACACCUAUGUUUUCUGACAAAUGAAUGGUAAUGGCUGAUUACUAAUUUCCUAAAUCUGUUUUUUUUCUUCGAAACCUAAUUCUCGGAUAAACAGGCCUAAAUGGAAAAAUGGAGGGUGGAUGUACAAUUAUGACAGCUAGCUCAUACAGAGGCAUGAAGAACAUCCUCUGUUUGCAUGACCAACAUCAUGUACUGCUCUGUCAGACCACAAGAUUAAAACAAACACUUUUGAAACCUUCGUUUACAAAUUUAGCUUUUGUCAGUGGGUAAUAGAAAUACAAAAUCAUGUCACGUGCUCUCUUACACAGAAAAAUCAAACAUCAAGCGUGACUGUAUUUAAGAGAGAGAGAGAGAGAGAGUUCACCUUGUUCAUCUUUAUCAAUCUCAUUCUCAAAAUUCCUCUUCUACUCUCCACAAGUAACCAGAAUAUGAGAGUCAAAAUUAGAUUAUCAGAAAACUGGAAAAUCAAGGACGCAGAUUGGAGAGGAGGAGGGAAGAAGCGAAGGUGAGGAGGAGGGGCACGGCUGCUACCUGUAGACAUGCGUGGCUUCAGAGGGUUGCCCGCCCCCACCCCUUGAUUAUGCUGUCGUGGCCCUGUCUAGAUCAAUCUGAGAAGCUCAGGUGGUCGCCAUCUCCCCAACCGACGAGCGCCCCCAGCUUCUCCCGCCUGUACGCACCUGCCCGGCCCUUCUUCUCCAUCGCUGCCGGUCCAGUCGACAUCCCACAGGCUGAGCCCGAGCAGCCCCAUCCCCCUCGACUUGUGGAGGCAGGGAGGAGGCGGCAGGGAUAUUCCUCCCCAUACGCCCCCACUCUCUCCUCCUCCUCCUUCCUCGUCUCAUCCACCCCUCCUCGUCCCGGAUCCCGCCGAAUCUGAGGCUUGUGGGCGCGGAGGCGAGCUUCUCCGACGGCGGCAGCGGCAGGAGAGGAGGCGGGGGUCGCGGUGGAACCGGCCAGCACGAUGGGGAGAGAGAGGGGUUAGAGAGAGAGAGAGAGAGGAGGGUGACGAGGAGGGGGAGGCGAGGGGACGGGAGGCGGCGGCUAGGUCUUCUCCACGGGGGAGGCUGCCUUUUAUACGCCUGGAUGCGAAAUGAUGAAAAUGCCCCUGGCGGGGCACGAAAAUAACAGGCAGUGGCAUGAGUACUGUUCAUGGCAAAUUAAAGGCGACGUGGCCACCUUCGUUGUGACUAUGAGUUCUUCUGGGUUUAUAUGUUCAAUGCCAUGUGAGGGAGUUCUGGACUAGGGGGUGUCCGGAUAGCCGAACUAUCAUCAUCGGUCGGACUCCAAGACUAUGAAGAUACAAGAUUGAAGACUUCGUCCCGUGUCCGGAUGGGACUUUCCUUGGCGUAGAAGGAAAGCUUGGCGAUACGGAUAUGUAGAUAUCCUACCAUUGUAACUGACUCUAUGUAACCCUAGCCCUCUCCGGUGUCUAUAUAAACCGGAUGGUUUUAGUCCAUAGAGAAACAACAAUCAUACCAUAGGCUAGCUUUUAGGGUUUAGCCUCCUUGAUCUCGUGGUAGAUCUACUCUUGUAAUACCCACAUCAUCAAUAUCAAUCAAGCAGGAUGUAGGGUUUUACCUCCAUCAAGAGGGCCCGAACCUGGGUAAAACAUCGUGUCCCUUGUCUCCUGUUACCAUCCGCCUAGACGCACAGUUCGGGACACCCUACCCGAGAUCCACCGGUUUUGGCACCGACAUUGGUGCUUUCAUUGAGAGUUCCUAUGUGUCGUCACCAAUAGGCUCGAUGGCUCCUUCGAUCAUCAACAACGACACGGUCCAGGGUGAGACUUUUCUCCCCGGACAGAUCUUCGUAUUCGGCUGCUUUGCACUGCGGGCCAAUUCGGUUGGCCAUCUGGAGCAGAUCGAAAGCUACGCCCCUGUCCGCCAGGUCAGAUUUGGAAGUCUUAACUUCAUGGCUGACAUCCGCGGAGACUUGAUCUUCAACGAAUUCGAGCCACAGCCGAUCGCGCCGCACUGUCACGAUGGACAUGAUUUAGCUCUGCUGCCGGACAGUACCCUGGAGGCCGCACACGAAACCGCUCCGACCCUCGAUUCGGAGCCGGCUGCGCAGAUCGAGGACGGAUGGUUAGACACCACCUCGGGGGCUGCAACCUCUACGACUAUAGAGCCGAGUACUGACUUUGUCCCUUCUGAAGCUCGUGACUCCAAGGUGCCGGACUCCUUGCCGGACUCCGAACCUCCCGCGCCCCCACCAAUCGAAUCCGGUUGGGCGCCGAUCAUGGAGUGCGCUGCCGCGGACAUCUUUCAACACUCACCUUUUGGCGACAUUCUGAACUCGCUAAAAUAUCUCUCGUUAUCAGGAGAGCCCUGGCCGGACUGCGGUCAGGACGGUUGGGAUGCGGACGACGAAGAAAUUCAAGACCCACCCACCACCCACUUAGUAGCCGCUGUUGAUGAUCUAACCGACAUGCUAGACUUCGACUCCGAAGACAUCGACGGUAUGGACGACGAUGCCGGAGACGACCAAGAACCAGCGCCUACUGGGCACUGGAAAGCCACCUCGUCAUACGACAUAUACAUGGUGGAUAUCCCAAAGGAUGGGAAUGGCAAAGGAACAGCGGAGGAAGACCCCUCCAAGAAACAGCCCAAGCGCCGGCGUCAGCGGCGCCGCUCUAAAUCCUGCCACAGCAAGAAUAGAGAUUCCGGCACCGGAGAUAAUAAUACCCCAGACAGUGCCGAAGACAACCCCCUCCAGCAAGAUUCAGCGCAGGAGGACGGAGAUGCCAACCCUCACAAGAGGGCGGCAGACGAAGAGGUAGAGGAAGAUAGUUACAUGCCUCCCUCUGAAGACGAGGCAAGCCUCGACGACGACGAAUUUUGUCGUGCCUGAGGAUCCCGUCGAACAAGAGCGUUUCAAACGCAGGCUUAUGGCCACGGCAAACAGCCUCAAGAAAAAGCAGCAAUAGCUUAGAGCUGAUCAGGAUCUGCUAGCCGACAGAUGGACGGAAGUCUUGGCGGCCGAAGAGCAUGAGCUCGAACGCCCCUCCAAAAGCUACCCCAAACGCAAGUUGCUCCCCCGAUUAGAGGAGGAGGCAUAUAAACCUGCAUCACCGGAGCACAAUACGGCUGACCGGCCACCUCGUGGCCGCGACAGAGAGGCCUCUAGGCCCUUCACUAGAACCGUACCCCGGCAUCGCUCGAACAGCACAAAGCCACAGGGGAAUGCUCCGGACUUGCGAGAUAUAUUGGAGGAUAAGGCAAGACAAUCAAGAUCGAUCUAUGGAUCGCGUGGGCGCCCCAUGAUACGUGACGACAACCGUCGCGCUGGACACAGUAAGUCCGGCCGGGCCGAACACAAUAGACAAAGCUUGUUGGAGCUUCGCCGUGAUAUAGCCCAAUACAGAGGCGUCGCACACCCACUAUGCUUCACAGACGAAGUAAUGGAUCAUCAAAUCCCCGAAGGGUUUAAACCCGUGAAUAUCGAAUCCUAUGACGGCAGAACAGACCCCGCGGUUUGGAUCAAAGACUAUCUCCUUCAUAUCCACAUGGCCCGCGGUGACGAUCUUCACGCCAUCAAAUACCUCCCACUCAAGCUUAAAGGACCAGCUCGGCAUUGGCUUAACAGCUUGCCAGCAGAAUCAAUUGGAUGUUGGGAGGACCUGGAAGCCGCAUUCCUUGAUAACUUCCAGGGCACGUAUGUGCGACCACCAGACGCUAACGACCUAAGCCACAUAAUUCAGCAGCCAGACGAAUCGGCCAGACAAUUCUGGACACGGUUCUUAACUAAGAAAAAUCAAAUCGUUGACUGUCCGGAUGCGGAGGCCCUCGCAGCCUUCAAACAUAACAUCCGCGACGAGUGGCUUGCCCGGCACCUGGGACAGGAAAAGCCGAAAUCCAUGGCAGCCCUCACAUCACUCAUGACCCGCUUUUGCGCGGGAGAGGACAGCUGGCUAGCUCGCAGCAACAACCUCAGCAAAAAUUCCGGCAGUCCGGAUACCAAGGAUCGCAAUGGCAGGUCACGUCGCAACAAGAAUAAACGCCGCAUUAACGACGACAAUAAUGAGGAUACGACAGUUAACACCGGAUUCAGAGGCUCGAAACCCGGUCAGCGGAAGAAGCCAUUCAAAAAAACUACUACGGGUCCGUCCAAUUUGGACCGAAUACUCGAUCGCUCGUGCCAGAUACACGGCACCCCCGAAAAGCCAGCCAACCACACCAACAGGGACUGUUGGGUAUUCAAGCAGGCAGGCAAGCUAAUUGCCAAAAACAAUGACAAGGGGCUGCAUAGCGAUGACGAAGAAGAGACCCGACCGCCGAACAACAGAGGACAGAAGGGUUUUCCCCCACAAGUGCGGACGGUGAAUAUGAUAUACGCAACCCACAUACCCAAGAGGGAGCGGAAGCGUGCACUCAGGGACGUAUACGCGAUGGAGCCAGUCGCCCCGAAGUUCAACCAUGGUCCUCCUGCCCGAUCACUUUUGAUCGAAGGGACCACCCCACCAGCAUCCGCCACGGCGGAUUUCCCGCAUUGGUUUUAGACCCAAUCGUCGAUGGAUUUCACCUCACCAGAGUCCUGAUGGACGGCGGCAGCAGCCUGAACCUGCUUUAUCAGGACACAGUGCGCAAGAUGGGCAUAGACCCAUCAAGGAUUAAACCAACAAAGACGACCUUCAAAGGUGUCAUACCAGGUGUAGAGGCCAAUUGUACGGGCUCAGUCACACUGGAAGUGGUCUUCGGAUCCCCGGAUAACUUCCAAAGCGAGGAGUUAAUCUUCGACAUAGUUCCGUUCCGCAGCGGCUAUCAUGCUCUGCUCGGACGGACCGCAUUUGCAAAGUUCAACGCGGUGCCGCACUACGCAUACCUCAAGCUCAAGAUGCCAGGCCCUCGAGGAGUCAUCACGGUCAAUGGAAACACCGAGCGCUCCCUCCGAACGGAGGAACAUACAGCGGCUCUCGCGGGCAGAAGUACAAUGCAGCCUCUUAAGGCAAUUCUCGAGUCCGGCCGUUAAGCGACCGGACACGGCCAAACGCGCCCGAAGUAACCUACAACAAGACCACCUGGCGUGUUCCGAGCACGCGUAGCAAUGCGACCCCAACCCCAGCCCUCACAAGAUCGCAAGACUGGUCCUUCGCGUACAUAAUUACGCUCUGGAGAUACCAUGGGCAUAGGGGAAGGGGCACGACCACGACAGGCCCAGAAUGCGGCUCAACCACAUCAGGGGCUCCCAAGUGUGUCAUUUCCUUUUUUUUCCUUUUUUCUUUCUUACCCACAGGACUCCGUUUACCAGAGGCCCUGUCCGGCAGUAGACCGACCGAACUCACGAUGCAACAGCCAGGGAAGGAGAAAGGCUGCGACGAAUAUCCAGGUGGUCUCCUUUACGAGCACUAAAUCUGUUUUAUACACCACUCCGCAGCCUACCCCUGGAGGGGGGCAUGUUUAAUAGUCCUGUCCCUUGCUUGUCGCACUAUUUGUAUCGUUCUGCAUUCAUAGCAGUGCUUCUUGAAUAAAACAAUGCAGCACCUUUUUGCUUAUAAUUCCAUUUCUUUCUUAUACAUAUGUUCAUUUGCAACAUGUUGCAUCCAUACACUUUGGUAUGGCUAAAAACACCAGGGGCUUAUGUUCCCCACAUCAUGGUGUGAUAAGUCCGAACACUUUCACAAGUGCGGCACCCUGAACUAAUAGCAUUAUAUGCAUCAGCUCCGAAUCAUGUCUUGGGUCAAUAGUUGGGUUUGCCCGGCUCCCAUGUUUUGGUACCUUACGUUCCGUUGUAUCGGCUAAGGUAGCACUGGGAGAACCACUGCGAUUGCGCCCCAGUUGAGCUGGGCUAACGCCUCAGUGGAGAAAGCUAAAACUGACCGUCAUGAUGAGGCGAGAGCCGGUCGUUGUUCGAGAGGUUUUUUCGAGUCCCUAAAGACUUAUGCCGCUUAGAGCGAGGAACCGGCUUUGUCCGGCCCAGGCGUGGAUAGCGCCCUGAAUUCGGCCUUCCGAACACUAGGGGCUUCGCCAAAAUUUAAAAUUAUAGAAUUCUAUGGCUAAGUGAGAGUGUUCAAGCAUUAUAAGUCCGGUUGCCUAGUUCAUCGUGUUGAGCGCCUCCCUAGAUGGACCCAAAUAUGGGAACAAGGGUGCUCAAAUUUAUCCCAAACACCCCAGCACUGGUGGCAUGGGGGCUGAAGCCGACGACUUGCCAUCUCUCAGAUUUGAUAAACAGCCGCACAGAAGGUAAUAUUUUAAAUCAAAAAGCGUUGCUUCGCGCAUAUGAACAAAGUUUUCUGCGCACAGGAUAACAAAAUGCGAGUCUACUCAAAUAUUACAUUAUUGGGGCACUCACCUGCAAUAGUGCGGGCACUCUUCAGGACACUCUUGUAAUACAUCUCGGGCGUGCGGUACUCCUUGCCCAGCGGUGGCGCGUCCGUCACAAGCUUCUCAGCAUCCAUCUUGCCCCAGUGCACCUUAGCACGGGCAAGGGCCCGACGGGCACCUUCAAUACAGGCGGAUCACUUGAUGACCUCAACCCAUGGACACGCAUCCACCAGCCGCCACACUAGGCCGAAGUAGCUCCCAGGCAUGGCCUCAUUGGGCCACAGCCGAACUAUGAGGCCCUUCAUGGCCUAUUCGGACACCUUGUGGAGCUCGACCAGCUGCUUCAGCUGGUCGCUAAGGGGAACCGGAUGUCCAGCCUCAGCAUACUGAGACCAAAAGACCUUCUCCAUCGAGCUCCCCUCCUCGGCCCUGUAGAAAGUGGCAACAUCGGACACGCUGCAGGGCAGAUCUGCGAACGCUCCUGGAGAGCUCCGAAUUCGGGUGAGUAACACGUAAUCCACAUCCACAUGCUUGCUUUGCAUGAAAAAUGCCUUACCCGACGCUAUUUUCUUCAACGCCUCGAUUUCCAGGAGGGCCUUGUAGGCUUCGGCCUUAGCGGCUUUGGCACUCUCAAGAGUCGAUGCAAGCUCGGACUCUCGAGUCUUCGAGUCACGCUCCAAACUCUCAUGUUUUUCCACGAGAGCCUGGAGCUCUUGACGUACCUCCGCCACCCGCGCCUCCUGCUUCUCUCGCUCGGCACGCUCCGCGGCCGCAUUACGUUCGGCCACGGACAUCACCUCCUUCAGGGUCGCCACCUCGUUUGUGGCCCCUGCAAUACCCACGUUAUCCUUGUCAUUCUUUUUGCAACCAAAUCCUUUUCUGUAAGGUACAACUUUCAUAAGGUGCUACUCACCUUCUUUGUCCUCGAGAUGCUUCUUGGCACAACCGAGCUCGUUCUCGGACCGCUCGAGGUUUUGCUUCAACGCAUUGACCUCUGUAGUCAGUGCGGCAGAGGUCAGUAGGGUAGCCUACAAUCCCAUAUCGACAUAUUUUUUAUGACUCCUGCGUAUAUCUUUUUAGAUCCUCAGUCCGACUUUUCUUUCUGAACACCGAACCGAGCAUCAGGGGCUAAUGUCUAUGCGGUACUAUUUUACAUAUAUUAAUAUUCUUACCUCAAAGCCUGAUAGAAGGCUGCUGCAGGCUUCGGUCAGCCUGCUUUUGGUGAGCUGGACCUUCUGAAUCACCACACUCAUGACAGUGCGGUGUUCCUCCUCGAUGGAAGCGCCGUUGAGCGCCUCCAGCAAGUUAUUCGGCGCCUCCGGUUGGACGGAGGCCGCUGGCGCCACGGUCUUGCCCUUCUUACGAAGGGACCGCCCACCGGACUCUGGAACCACUACAGGUUCCGGUGCGGAGUCCGGCACGAAGUCCGGGAGGUCGCCCUGUGCCACCUCUGGGUCCUCCUCCUCCGGAUGGGUCCCUCUCUGGGAUCCCACCUCGACGUCGUCAGCAUCGCGGGGAGAAGAGGCGGUUGGAAGUGAAGUGUUGUUCACAUCCGACGAGCCCAAGGACCCGCUCGACAAAGCGGGAAGAUCGUCCUUGGGUGGACUGCAGGGUUGUAUGCGGCGUUAGAAAGACACCAAGUGGCAAAAAGAAAAAUCAUGAAGUCAUUCGGGAGUCCGGAUACUUACGAUCUCGCUAGGGGCUUGGCCCUUGGAGGCCAAUCCUCGUCGUCGUCACCGGCGUUGGCGGAACAGUCCGGGGGAAGAGUCCUUCCCUUCUUGGACCCUUCAGCCUCCCUAGCUGGGGAGGCCUUCCUUUUCUUCCCUCCCCCCGCUGGGGGAGAGACCUUUUUCUUCUCCUCAUCCUCGGGGGAGGAGUCCGCCUCGGAGUCAUCGGACACCUGAAAACGGGAACUCUUUCAAGUACCCGUGGCCUCCUUCUUGGCCUUCUUCUCCGGCACCACAUGGGGUGCCGGAACCAGCAGCCCCGCCAGAUGGGCAUCCACUGGGUCUUCUGGCAAGGGGGCCGGACAGUUAGUCUGCUCGGCUUUCUUCAGCCAGUCCUGUUAAAGGAAAGGGAGUUUAGAUACCGCAUAGAGUCAAACUAUGGAAAACAAGUGUCCCGUAAAGGGUAAAAUCAUUUACCUCGUCAGCCUGACGCUGCGAGCGAAAUCCGCGAUCUUCGAUAGCGGACGCGGGGGCCUGACGCCCUUAAAAAGCACCUUCCAGGCAUCUUCGUACCUAGUGUCGAAGAGCCCGCUCAAGGUUCGGUGCUGAGCCGGAUCAAACUCCCACAGUUUAAAGGCCCGUUGUUGGCACGGGAGGAUCCGGCAGAUGAGCAUGACCUGGACUACGUUGACAAGCUUGAGCUUCUUGUCCACCAGCUUCUGGAUACAGGCUUGGAGUCCGGUCAGCUCCUCCGAAUUGCCCCAAGUCAGGCCACUCUCCUUCCAAGAGGUGAGCCGUGUGGGGAUGCUAGAUUUGAAUUUGGGGGCCGCUGCCCAUUUAGGGUCACGCGGCUCGGUGAUGUAGAACCACCCUGAUUGCCACCCCUUGAUGGUUUCCACGAAGGCGCCCUCGAGCCAGGUAACGUUGGAUAUCUUUCCCACCAUGGCGCCUCCGCAUUCUGCUUGGUUCCCCUUCAUGACCUUUGGCUUGACAUUGAAAAUCUUGAGCCACAAGCCGAAGUGGGGCUGGAUGCAGAGGAAAGCCUCGCACACGACGAUAAACGCCGAGAUGUUGAGGAUGAAAUUCGGGGCCAGAUCAUGGAAAUCCAGGCCGUAGUAGAACAUGAGCCCCUGGACAAAGGGGUGAAGUGGGAAGCCCAGUCCGCGGAGGAAAUGGGGAAGGAAUACCACCCUCUCAUGGGGCCUGGGGGUGGGGAUGAGCUGCCCCUUGUUGGGGAGCCGGUGCACGAAGUUGCUGGAUAGGUAUCCGGCGCCGUGCAGCCUCUCGAUAUGCCCCUCCGUAACGGAGGAGGCCAUCAUGUCACACCCUAGCUAGUUCAUGCAUUAGAGUGUUGCAUCAUGUUUAUUCUUUCAAUAGAAACCUGAAAUGGGGAUGACAGAACCCCCAGCCCCUCUGAAACAACUAGGGUUUACUAAAAAUAAUUUCAAUGAACCUGAAAUGCCCUUCUAAAAUGUCCAUCAUUUUUGUUUUGGUUCAGAACCUCUACCAAAAGUGAUGCACAAUUUUCUAGGUCAUCCUAAGGUCUUUGAAUUAACUCAUAAGUAUUUGAGUUUGGGCAUUUAAAUUAUAUAAAUUAUUUUGAAUGCUCAAAUAUUUCCAAACUAAAAUGUUCCUUGCUGGAAAUAUUCCAGCUAAGGACCAGGUGCAGUUUGGUGAAUUUUGGAGUUGCCUAGGUAUUUUUAGUAAUUCAACAAACUUACAGAGUAAAACAGAAAUAGAAAACAGGAAGAAAACCUUACCUGGCGCCUACUAACCGGCCCACCUGCCGGCCCAGCCCACCUGCCGCGCCAGCGAGCUGCUUGGCUCGGCCAGGCAGGCAGGCAGGUGCUCGGCGGCGAGCACCGCAUGGGUGCCACGCACCUGGUCGCCGCCUCGCCGCUCCCCUCGUCCAGCUGAUCACGGGGAUCGCUCCCCCUCUCUCCCCUGAACCCCUCAGACAUCUCCUCUCCUCCCCAGCUCCUCUCCCUCGCGCUCCCCAGCCAUGGCCGACGCCACCGCCGCCGCCCCAUCGCCGUAGCCGCGCUCCCCGCCGUCCGUGCUCCGUCUCGCCAUGUCUAGGAGCUCUGCCGCCAUCCUCUUCGUCGAGCUAGCCGAGCCCCGCGUGCUCGUGUGGCCCGAGUCCACCGCACCGACUUCGCCUGAGUCCGCCGUCGCCGGAGAUCCCCUUCAACGCCGUCACCGCAUCAGUCCAUCCCCGACCCUGCCGGUUGCCUCCACGAGUGCCCUGUGAGCCUAGCUACCUCCCGUUCCCUUCCUCUCUCGCCCCCGAGCUGUGUAGCAACCGCACGAAGAUCACCCGCAUGCACCGCCGCGGAGAUCGUCGCCGACGUGCUCCCGGCCAUCCUCCGGUCACCUCUCGGUAUCCAUCGCACUCACCACGUCGCGUAGGGUCUAACCAUACACUCCUCGCACCUCACCGCACACCCUAGCCCCGAGUUCGCCUCCACCCGAACUCCGGCGGCCGCCUAGGUCGUCGCCGGCGCCGAUUCCGGCCACCCCGACCCCAACUAACUCCACCAAGAGCUGCGGUUUGUCCCCAGCUCCACUUAGAUGCCUUCCGCGACCCAUUUGGUGGCCGGAACGGCCAAAAUCACUUCCGCCGCCGCGUCAGGCUCACGGGCGGCUAAACGCUGGUGCAGCCGACUUGACUUUGACCACGGGUGGGCCCUGGUUGACUCUGUUGAGUCAAUGACAGGUGGGGCCCAGCCCUGUUAACUAAUCCGGUUUAGUUCUAAUUAAUUUUUUAGCUAAACUAAUUGCACUGACACCCUGGACCCACUGGUCAGUUUGACCUGGACCAGUUUGUUGACUUGCUGAGGUCAGCAUGACAUCAUGCUGACGCAGUAAUCCUUUUCUGGAAUUAAAAUAAAUCUAAAAUGAUUUAUAAAUUUCAGAAAAUGUUCUAAACUUCAAAAUUUCAUAGUAAUUCAACCAUAGCUCCAAAUGCAAAGUGUUAUAUAUGAAAAAUGAUUAGAAAAAUCCAACCUAUCCAUCUGUGCUGGUUUCAUGCAUGUUUAAACAAGCUAACCUACUGUUUAUUGCAGAACAAGUUAAAGCACUUAUAAGGGCCAUGUAUGAGUUUGAAACUUGAAUCUUUGAUUCAAAAUGGUUCAAACCCAUAUGGUUUUAGUUGCAUUAGUCCAACACACUCAUAUUGCCAUGUUUCAUGCAUGCAUCAUAUUGUUGCACAUUAUUUGGUGAUGGUUGGGUAUCGGUGUUCUCUGCGGCAGGUCCUGCCUCCGAGGAGUACCGUGAUUACCCCAACGAAGAACAAUAUCAGUGCAUCGACCCAUCAGGCAAGCAACCAACCAUUUGAUCAUAUCGAUACAAUCCCAUGUUCUCGCUCCUGCUCUCUUUUACUGCAUUAAGACAACGCGUUUCAAACUGCUGUGUGCUACGGUAGUUGAACCCAUUUCCUCUGCAUGACCUGUCAUUGCCACAGUAACUAGAUGAAACCCACUAGCAUGUGUAGGAGUUGAUUGAGCCAUAUGUGUGUGAUGUUCCUACCUUGCUAUGCCUGGUAUGCUUAGAGUCGUGUCAGGUCUGGUUCAUCUAGGUGAUGGGCUAGAGUGAAAUGAUCGUGCCGGUAAUGAGAGUGAUGUGGUGAACACGAUUUGGUAAAGGUAUCGAUGAAAGGCCAUGUAGGAGUACAUGGUGGGUUGUUUCAUUGAAGCCGUCCUUAAGCACUGAGAUCUGUAUGUGUGAUUUAAGAAUCAGCUACUACCAUGCAUUGGGCCCGAAACCAAUGGACCCUCUCGACUUCUUAUUCACCCUAGUCCUCUAUCCAAGAGUUGCAAGUAGUUUCUGGUGUUUGUAGCCUACUGGAGGCCGUGGACAGCGUUGACCGUAGGGGUGGGCUGUGAUGUGGUAGGUACGUGGCACGGUGUACCGGAUGCCCAUUAGGCAUCUCGGGAACCCUGUUCACAUCGUUUGGGGCUGUGAGCGAAACCCCGGCCGGAUCUCCUCACGGAUGGAACCCGAAUAGGCGAUAAACCUGGACUAGAGACUUAGGUGACUAGGUAGGUCGUGGCCGACACCCACGUUGGGCUUCCGCUUGAAGGUUGCCGAGUACAUGUCGUGUAAACAGCGGUAAGUGGUGAGAGCGUGUGUGAAGAAGUACACCCCUGCAGGGUUAACAUAAUCUAUUCGAAUAGCCGCGUCCGCGAUAAAGGACUACUUGGUUGCCUAUACAGUUCAUAGACAAGUAAAUGGAUACUACUAAAAAUCUCAAGAUAAGCGUGAGUGCCGAGGAUGGCCCUUCCGUAGGAUGACGGAGGUGGAUCCUCGGUGGUGUAUUGAAGUGGUGAGUAGUGGACUCGUGUGCGCAAAACCAUUUCAAGUUGGUGUAUCGUAGGAUAGCUUAGCCAAGAGUCAAAGCUGGCUUGCUGCAAUAACCCCACCAACCCUUCUUGAUAAUGUGCAUGUAUGUAGGAUCUGAUGUAAGUCUUGUUAAGUACCUUUGUACUCAUGUUGCUUUAAUUUACAUUUUUCAGAAGACACUGCAACCCCUUCUGAUGGGUUCUUCGUAGAUGUUGACAUCGAUGAGUAGACCGAGGCCCAGGUGGUGACCCUGAGCUUGUGAAGGACCAUGUAGUAUAGCCAGGCUUUCCAAGCCUCUUUUAUUUUACUAGUUGUCUGUACCUAGACAAGUUGCUUCCGCUGUUGGCUUGUAUGUCUGUAUGACUUGAAUGCUGGGUCGUGUGACCCAUACUUGUGUGUAUGCUAUGUAUGGCUCUCUGAGCCUUAAAUAAAGUCCUUCUGUUGUAGAGUCAUGUUGUGAUGCCUUGUUGUAUUUGCACAUAUCGAGCAUAUUGUGUGUAUGAUUGAAAUGCUUGGUAUGUGUAGGAUCUGACUAUCUAGUUGUUUAUUCUUAGUAGCCUCUCUUACCGGGAAAUGUCUCCUAGUGUUUCCAUGAGCCUUGGUAGCUUGCUACUGCUCCGGAACACUUAGGCUGGCUGGCAUGUGUCCUUCUUCGUUCCUGUGUCUGUCCCUUCAGGGAAAUGUCACGCGAUGAAUACCAGAGUCCUGUCAGCCCGCUAUAGCCCGGUUUACCGGAGUCCUGCUAGCCCAGUGCUACAGCCCGGAUUCACUUGCUGAUGACCGACACGUUCGAUGCUGGGUCAUGGAUGCCUGUCCCUGUAAGUCUGUGCCACUUUGGGUUUACGACUAGCCAUGUCAGCGCGGGCUCUUUACCAUAUGGAUGCUAGCGACACUAUCAUAUACGUGUGCGAAAAGGCGCAAACGGUCCCGGGCAAAGAUAAGACGACACCCAUGGGAAUACCGUGCGUGAGGCCGCAAAGUGGUAUGAGGUGUUACAUGCUAGAUCGAUGUGGCAUCGAGUCGGGGUCCUGACAGCAUUGGCAUCAGAGCCGGACUGCCUGUAGGUUCUCCAAGCCAAACUGGUCGAUGUUGAUGUAGAAAUUCUUUAGUUAUAUAUAGGGGAAUUGUUUGUGGGAUGGAACGUAAGGCUCUUUUUACUCCUUUAUCUCAUAACAUUCUGAUCUGAGUCAGUCUAUUCUUCUACCGGGGUUAAGGACUAGGAUCCCUCCUCUCUAUCAGGUUCACGUGUUACUAAUCAGUAGUACCUUAUAGGUUUGAUGGUUGCAAGCCUAGUUCAGUGCUACUACCCCAUUAUGCUGCUAAGAUGAACCCAGAACCUUGAUAUGAUGUUGUUGAGUGUCUAUGCAAUUCUUUGUCAAAUGCCUCAAAUCCUUUUGAGCAUUUACAGCCGUUAUGCUGUCCAAUUUCUGCUAGGAAUCUUAAUGUCUUGUGUUUAUCAUGUUCCAGAUGGCGACCCGUCCUCAGAAUCAAGUGGUUCAUUUGACUCGAUGUCUAGAUGUACCCGGCCAUACUGCCAUGUUGGUCAGGGUAAUGACUGAGGCAGGGUACCGUUGGUAUCCUGAGUACACGGUCGAAGAGCAAUUCAGAGACUUUAAUCAAAGUCAAUAUCUUCGCACUGUCAGGAUAUUUCCAUCUUAUCCUGGAUCUACCGAGCCCCUUCACUGCUCUUAUGGACUCGGGGUUACUAUUGAGAUGGCUGUGCAGGAUGCUGCCUACUCUAUGAUGACCAUCAUGCGAGUUAGGACUGGCCUAUUUCAGGACUCUGACUUUCGGUAUAUGCCAGCAUCACUUCCAGGAGCACAAGGGUAUCUCCAGGCUAUCUAUGCUGACUCCACUCAGGAGGAUUCACGGACCUGCACCACUGCACAGUUGCUUGAAGACAAGGACCGUGAAAAUCGGGCCUUGAGACUAGAGCUUUUCAAUACCCGUGCAGAUCAUUGGGCCACUUUGACUCGGUUUGCACCGACUGUGCAAGCUGGAUAUAUGGACAUGCGAGAUCUCUAUCCUGUGAGAUCUGCUCUGCCAGACGUGAUGGAUUGGCAUGAUGUAGGAGGCAUCACCCCACCUCGUGGUCCCCGCAGGCCACCGUUUAUUGGUCCAAGACCUCAUCCUAGCCCCUAUGGUCCACAAGCUCCACGGGACCGACUGUUUCCGGAUGAUCACGUUGAGCUUCCAGGCUAUGGAGGUGACUUCUAUGAAGACUACUACGGAGCUGUCUGAGUUAGUAGUAGUAUCACUAGUAUCGUACUAGCUGUAUCGUCCACCGUCCUGCGUGACUCGUGGGAUAUGCCUUAGUUUGUACCGCCUUCCGGAGGUGUAGAAAAAUAAUGUAUAGGAGCUCGGAAUGCCUCCGAUGAGAUGUAAUCCUCUUUCACCAUAGUAGUACUUUGUUUGGUUCUGUACUAAACCUUGUAUGGUGUGUAUGACGAUGGAAUAAAAGAAGCAGUUUCUAUAUCUACCAUGUCAUACGGAUGCUCGUCUUACAUUCCAAGUUAUCCGUUACAUUCUACAUUUCUAUGUCAGAAUCCUAUCAUCCUGGACUAAACCAUUGUCUUGUUUUCCUAGGAUGGUUAACACCCGCACCAACCCUGCUCCCCCAGAGCAGGCCGAAGGCAGCAGAGUUGGAGGAACAAACCUGCCUCAACCACCCUCUCUGGCCGAAAUUAUGCUGGAAGCCAAGAGAAACAAGCGGGAGACUAACCGUUUGUUGGAGCGCAUCGAGCAAAACACAGCACACCAUCAGAGGAAUAACUUGGUGUCACUCAGUGAUUUCAUCAAGUUACAUCCACCCACUUUCCACCACUCCGUCGAGCCUCUCGACGCCGAUGACUGGCUUCGCAGUAUUACUCACAAACUGCGUUCUGCGCUAGUAGCUGAGGCUGAUAGGGUCACCUUUGAUGCAUAUCAUCUUGAAGUCCCCGCCAGUCUAUGGUGGGAGAACUAUGGAGCUAUGCGCCCAGUGGGCCAUGUCACUACUUGGGCUGAAUUCAGCGAGGCUUUUCGUGAACAUCACAUUCCGGAGGGUCUCAUGGACCGUAAGCGUGAGGAGUUCUACAGUUUCACUCAAGGUCGACUCUCUGUUGACGCUUACAGCAGGGAGUUCGGUAACCUUGCACGGUAUGCAACGGAGGAAGUUUCCACUGAUGCCAAGAAGCAAGCAAGGUUCCGUAAGGGACUUAGUCCUGAGCUUCGCCGCGACCUCCGUCUACAUGAGUGCACAUCUUUUCAGAAGCUUGUUAACAAAGCCAUCAGUGCGGAGUCUGGUCAGACUAAUUAUGAAGCAACACGCAAGCAUGGCCGUGACAUGGGUUCCUCAUCCGGUGCUGGUCCUCAGAAGCGCCGCGUGUGGGUGCCUAACACUGCCCUGCCACCCAGGUUCACACCGAGGCCAUCCUUCCAGGCGCCUCGCCCCGCUCAACAGUUUGCACCAACCAAGCCCUAUGGUGGUCCAACCAACAGUGCUUCUCCACGUACCAGCUCUGUGACUUGCUUUGUGUGGGGAAUCAGGCCACUAUCUGCGCGAGUGCCCCCAGACCAACCCCAACCAAUCUGCAAAAGCUGUUGGCCGUGGCAAGCUGACAGGGAAAGCAUUCUACGCCAAGCCGGCCACCGCUGCUCGUGGCCAUGUCAAUUGUAUCUCUGCUGAAGAAGCUCAAGAGGAUCCCAACGUCGUUCUUGGUACGCUCCUUGUUAAUUGCCACCCGGCAUCUGUUCUUUUCGAUACAGGAGCAUCUCAUUCAUUUAUAUCCGAGAGCUAUGCUCGUCUGCAUAACACCACAUUCUGUGAGAUGGCCACCUCUAUGGUAAUUCAAACCCCGGGAUCCAAAUGGAAAACUUCUAGAGUAAGCCAUGGGAAUGAAAUUCAAGUCGACAGACUUGUUUUUCUCGCUUCUUUAAUAGCUCUCAAAUCUUCGGAUAUUAAUAUCAUCUUGGGCAUGGACUGGAUGUCAGCCCAUCAUGCCAAAAUUGAUUGUUUCUCUAGGACUGUUCAACUCACACAUCCUUCGGGAAAGAUAGUCAAUGUCUUGACCCGAGUAGCUAAGCGACAGCUAUAUUCUCUUAACGCCAGUCCUUUGCCAGACCUUGAGGACGUUCCGGUAGUCCGUGACUUUCCGGAUGUCUUCCCAGAAGAAUUGCCAGGUGUCCCACCUGACAGGGAUGUUGAGUUCGUAAUAGAUCUCAUUCCAGGAACUGUCCCAAUUUCUAGAAGACCCUAUAAGAUGGCACCUUUUGAACUAGCCGAACUUAAGAAACAACUCGAUGAGUCCUUGAAGAAGGGUUUCAUCUGACCUAGUUCAUCUCCAUGGGCUUGCCCCGUCCUCUUCGUCAAGAAGAAGGAUGGUACGGACCGGAUGGUUGUAGAUUAUCGACCUGUCAAUUUGGUCACAAUUAAGAACAAGUAUCCGCUCCCCAGGAUCAACGACCUGUAUGAUCAGCUCGCUGGAUCCUCAGUCUUCUCUAAAAUGGAUUUGAGGUUGGGCUACCAUCAAAUCAAAAUCCGGAACGAGGACAUUCCUAAAACGGCCUUUGUUACUCGUUAUGGCCAAUACGAGUACACCGUCAUGUCCUUUGGUUUAACCAACACUCCAGCCACCUUUUCUCGGUUAAUGAACUCAAUCUUCAUGGAGUAUUUGGAUAAAUUUGUCAUGGUUUACCUCGAUAUACUCAUCUACUCCAAGAACGAGGAAGAACAUGCCGAACAUCUAAGGCUAGUGUUGAUGAAACUUCGAGAGCAUCGCCUUUAUGCCAAAUUUUCUAAAUGCGAAUUCUGGUUACCAGAAGUGACCUAUCUAGGACAUGUAAUUUCUGGUAAAGGUAUUGUUGUUAACCCCGAGCGAGUUCAAGCCGUCCUUAAUUGGACUCCUCCUGAAUCGGUCAAGCAAGUUCGGAGUUUCCUUGGCUUAGCGAGCUAUUGUUGCCGCUUUGUCGAGAACUUCUCCAAAGUUGCCAAACCUCUAACUGAACUCCUCAAGAAAGAUAACAAGUUCGAGUGGACUCCACAAUGUGAGCACAGCUUUCAGGAACUGAAAAGACGCCUGACAUCUUCUCCCGUAUUGGUACCACCAGAUUUCUCUAAGGACUUUGUUAUUUACUGCGACGCCUCGCGACAAGGACUAGGUUGCAUUCUCAUGCAAGAUCGACACGUAAUUGCUUACGCUUCACGGCAAUUGCACCCACAUGAGGAGAAUUAUCCUACUCAUGACCUAGAGCUUGUAGCUAUAGUCUAUGCACUUAAAACCUGGCGACAUUACCUCCUCGGUAAUCGUUGCGAAAUCUUCACCGAUCACCAAAGUCUGAAGUACAUCUUCACCCAACCGGAUUUGAAUCUCAGGCAAAGACGUUGGGUUGAGUUGAUCACAGAUUUUGACUUAGGGAUAACUUACACCCCAGGAAAGGCCAACGUCAUGGCUGAUGCGCUAAGUCGUAAAUCUUAUUGUAACAAUCUAAUGUUACAACAAAGUCAACCGCUUCUCCAUGAGGAAUUUCGAAAGCAUAACCUUCACAUUGUUCCUCAAGGAUUCCUUUCCACCUUGGUGGCGAAACCUACCCUUACGGAUCAGAUCAUCAAAGCACAGAAGGUAGAUCCAGGAAUUUCCCGCAUCAAGAGAAACAUCAAGAAGGGAGUUGCGAAUUGUUUCUCCAUUGAUGAUCAAGGAGUCGUAUACUUCGGAAAUCGUCUAGUGGUUCCCAAGGUGCGAAACCUGAGACGAUUGAUCCUUAAGGAAGCUCAUGAAUCCCCUCUCACCAUUCAUCCCGGUAGCACUAAGAUGUAUCAGGACCUACGCCAGAGGUUCUGGUGGACUAGGAUGAAGAGAGAAAUUGCUCAAUAUAUUGCUAGUUGCGACGUCUAUCCUCGUGUAAAAGCAGAGCAUCAACGGUCUGCUAGCACCCUUCAACCCUUAGCUAUUCCUGAAUGGAAAUGGGAUAAAAUUGGUAUGGACUUCAUCACCGGUUUUCCCAGGACCAAGAGAGGGAAUAAUGCUAUCUUCGUUGUUGUCGAUCGUCUCUCCAAAGUCGCCCAUUUCUUACCUGUUCGCGAGAGUAUAACCGCUAGUUAAUUAGCAGAAUUGUACAUCUCCUGAAUAGUGUCUCACCAUGGUGUUCCACUGGAAAUUAACUCGGAUCGAGGAAGUCUCUUCACCUCUUGAUUUUGGGAAAGUUUCCAAAAUGCUAUGGGAACCCGCCUUUCCUUUAGCACUGCUUUUCACCCUCAAUCAAGUGGUCAAGUAGAACGUGUCAACCAGAUUCUGGAAGACAUGCUUCGAGCUUCUGUUAUCUCAUUCGGAAUGGAUUGGGAGAAAUGCCUUCCAUUUGCUGAGUUUGCUUAUAACAAUAGCUAUCAAUCUAGCUUGGGUAAAGCCCCUUUUGAAGUUCUCUAUGGACGAAGGUGUCGAACGCCUCUUAACUGGUCAGAAACCGGGGAAAGACAAUUCUUUGGCCCGGACAUGAUCCAGGAAGCAGAAGAGCAAGUUUGCAUUGUUCGUGAAAAGUUGAAAACAGCCCAAUCUCGUCAAAAGAGUCAAUACGACCGAAAACAUAAGGCUAUGACUUUUGAGGUUGACGAGAAGGCUUACCUUCGGGUUACUCCUCUGAAGGGAACCCAUCGCUUCGGUAUCAAGGGCAAAUUGGCUCCUCGCUACAUUGGACCCUUUCGCAUUCUCGCUAAACGAGGAGAAGUUGCCUACCAAUUGGAACUACCUCCGCAUCUCUCCAGAGUCCACGAUGUCUUCCACGUUUCUCAACUCAGACAUUGCUUCUCGGAUCCUAUCCGUGGAGUGGACCACGAAACGCUUGAUCUUCAAGAUAAUCUUACGUAUCGAGAGUACCCCAUUCGUAUCCUCGAUCAAGCCGAGCGUAUCACUCGACGUCGUAAUAUCAAGUUUCUCAAGGUUCAAUGGUCGCACCAUUCUGAGAAGGAAGCAACCUGGGAAAGGGAGGAUCGUCUUCGACUUGAGUACCCCGCCUUCUUCCCAGAGGAACCUAAAUCUCAGGACGAGAUUCUUUUGAGUGGGGGUGAGUUGUCACACCCUAGCUAGUUCAUGCAUUAGAGUGUUGCAUCAUGUUUAUUCUUUCAACAGAAACCUGAAAUGGGGAUGACAGAACCCCCAGCCCCUCUGAAACAACUAGGGUUUACUAAAAAUAAUUUCAAUGAACCUGAAAUGCCCUUCUAAAAUGUCCAUCAUUUUUGUUUUGGUUCAGAACCUCUACCAAAAGUGAUGCACAGUUUUCUAGGUCAUCCUAAGGUCUUUGAAUUAACUCAUAAGUAUUUGAGUUUGGGCAUUUAAAUUAUAUAAAUUAUUUUGAAUGCUCAAAUAUUUCCAAACUAAAAUGUUCCUUGCUGGAAAUAUUCCAGCUAAGGACCAGGUGCAGUUUGGUGAAUUUUGGAGUUGCCUAGGUAUUUCUAGUAAUUCAACAAACUUACAGAGUAAAACAAAAAUAGAAAACAGGAAGAAAACCUUACCUGGUGCCUACUAACCGGCCCACCUGCCGGCCUAGCCCAGCUGCCGCGCCAGCGAGCUGCUUGGCUCGGCCAGGCAGGCAGGCAGGUGCUCGGCGGCGGGCACCGCAUGGGUGCCACGCACCCGGUCGCCGCCUCGCCGCUCCCCUCGUCCAGCUGAUGACGGGGAUCGCUCCCCCUCUCUCCCUCGAACCCCUCAGACAUCUCCUCUCCUCCCUAGCUCCUCUCCCUCGCGCUCCCCAGCCAUGGCCGACACCACCGCCGCCGCCCCAUCACCGUAGCCGCGCUCCCCGCUGUCCGUGCUCCGUCUCGCCGUGUCUAGGAGCUCCGCCGCCAUCCUCUUCAUUGAGCUAGCCGAGCCCCGCGUGCUCGUGUGGCCCGAGUCCACCGCACCGACUUCGCCCGAGUCCGCCGUCGCCGGAGAUCCUCUUCAACGCCGUCGUCGCAUCAGUCCGUCCCCGACCCCGCCGGUUGCCUCCACGAGUGCCCUGUGAGCCUAGCUACCUCCCCUUCCCUUCCUCUCUCGCCCCUGAGCUGUGUAGCAACCGCACGAAGAUCACCCGCAUGCACCGCCGCGGAGAUCGUCGCCGACGUGCUCCCGGCCAUCCUCCGGUCACCUCUCGGUGUCCAUCGCACUCACCACGUCGCGUAGGGUCUAACCAUACACUCCCCGCACCUCACCGCACACCCUAGCCCCGAGUUCGCCUCCACCCGAACUCCGGCGGCCGCCUAGGUCAUCGCCAGCGCCGAUUCCGGCCACCCCGACCCCAACUAACUCCACCAAGAGCUACGGUUUGUCCCCAGCUCCACUUAGAUGCCUUCCGCGACCCAUUUGGUGGCCGGAACGGCCAAAAUCACUUCCGCCGCCGCGUCGGGCUCGCCGGCGGCUAAACGCCGGUGCAGCCGACUUGACUUUGACCAUGGGUGGGCCCUGGUUGACUCUGUUGAGUCAAUGACAGGUGGGGCCCAGCCCUGUUAACUAAUCCGGUUUAGUUCUAAUUAAUUUUUUAGCUAAACUAAUUGCACUGACACCCUGGACCCACUGGUCAGUUUGACCUGGACUUGUCUGUUGACUUGCUGAGGUCAGCAUGACAUCAUGCUGACGCAGUAAUCCUUUUUUGGAAUUAAAAUAAAUCUAAAAUGAUUUAUAAAUUUCAGAAAAUGUUCUAAACUUCAAAAAUUCAUAGUAAUUCAACCAUAGCUCCAAAUGCAAAGUGUUAUAUAUGAAAAAUGAUCAGAAAAAUCCAACCUAUCCAUAUGUGCUGGUUUCAUGCAUGUUUAAACAAGCUAACCUACUGUUUAUUGCAGAACAAGUUAAAGCACUUAUAAGGGCCAUGUAUGAGUUUGAAACUUGAAUCUUUGAUUCAAAAUGGUUCAAACCCAUGUGGUUUUAGUUGCAUUAGUCCAACACACUCAUAUUGCCAUGUUUCAUGCAUGCAUCAUAUUGUUGCACAUUGUUUGGUGAUGGUUGUGUAUCGAUGUUCUCUGCGGCAGGUCCUGCCUCCGAGGAGUACCGUGAUUACCCCAACGAAGAACAAUAUCAGUGCAUCGACCCAUCAGGCAAGCAACCAACCAUUUGAUCAUAUCGAUACAAUCCCAUGUUCUCACUCCUGCUCUCUUUUACUGCAUUAAGACAACGCGUUUCAAACUGCUGUGUGCUACGAUAGUUGAACCCAUUUCCUCUGCAUGACCUGUCAUUGCCACAGUAACUAGAUGAAACCCACUAGCAUGUGUAGGAGUUGAUUGAGCCAUAUGUGUGUGAUGUUCCUACCUUGCUAUGCCUGGUAUGCUUAGAGUCGUGUCAGGUCUGGUUCAUCUAGGUGAUGGGCUAGAGUGAAAUGAUCGUGCCGGUAAUGAGAGUGAUGUGGUGAACACGAUUUGGUAAAGGUAUCGAUGAAAGGCCAUGUAGGAGUACAUGGUGGGUUGUUUCAUUGAAGCCGUCCUUAAGCACUGAGAUCUAUAUGUGUGAUUUAAGAAUCAACUACUACCAUGCAUUGGGCCCGAAACCAAUGGACCCUCUCGACUUCUUAUUCACCCUAGUCCUCUAUCCAGGAGUUGCAAGUAGUUUCUGGUGUUUGUAGCCUACUGGAGGCCGUGGACAGUGUUGACCGUAGGGGUGGGCUGUGAUGCGGUAGGUACGUGGCACGGUGUACCGGAUGCCCGUUAGGCAUCUCGGGAACCCUGUUCACAUCGUUUGGGGCUGUGAGCGAAACCCCGGCCGGAUCUCCUCACGGAUGGAACCCGAAUAGGCGAUAAACCUGGACUAGAGACUUAUGUGACUAGGUAGGUCGUGGACGACACCCACGUUGGGCUUCCGCUUGAAGGUUGCCGAGUACAUGUCGUGUAAACGGCGGUAAGUGGUGAGAGCGUGUGUGAAGAAGUACACCCCUGCAGGGUUAACAUAAUCUAUUCGAAUAGCCGCGUCCGCGGUAAAGGACUACUUGGUUGCCUAUACAGUUCAUAGACAAGUAAAUGGAUACUACUAAAAAUCUCAAGAUAAGCGUGAGUGCCGAGGAUGGCCCUUUCGUAGGAUGACGGAGGUGGAUCCUCGGUGGUGUAUUGAAGUGGUGAGUAGUGGACUUGUGUGCGCAAAACCAUUUCAAGUUGGUGUGUUGUAGGAUAGCUUAGCCAAGAGUCAAAGCUGGCUUGCUGCAAUAACCCCACCAACCCUUCUUGAUAAUGUGCAUGUAUGUAGGAUCUGAUGUAAGUCUUGUUAAGUACCUUUGUACUCAUGUUGCUUUAAUUUACAUUUUUCAGAAGACACUGCAACCCCUUCUGAUGGGUUCUUCGUAGAUGUUGACAUCGAUGAGUAGACCGAGGCCCAGGUGGUGACCCUGAGCUUGUGAAGGACCAUGUAGUAUAGCCAGGCUUUCCAAGCCUCUUUUAUUUUACUAGUUGUCUGUACCCAGACAAGUUGCUUCCGCUGUUGGCUUGUAUGUCUGUAUGACUUGAAUGCUGGGUCGUGUGACCCGUACUUGUGUGUAUGCUAUGUAUGGCUCUCUGAGCCUUAAAUAAAGUACUUGUGUUGUAGAGUCAUGUUGUGAUGCCUUGUUGUAUUUGCACAUAUCGAGCAUAUUGUGUGUAUGAUUGAAAUGCUUGGUAUGUGCAGGAUCUGACUAUCUAGUUGUUUAUUCUUAGUAGCCUCUCUUACCGGGAAAUGUCUCCUAGUGUUUCCAUGAGCCUUGGUAUAUUGCUACUGCUCCGGAACACUUAGGCUGGCCGGCAUGUGUCCUUCUUCGUUCCUGUGUCUGUCCCUUCGGGGAAAUGUCACGCGAUGAAUACCAGAGUCCUGUCAGCCCGCUACAGCCCGGUUUACCGGAGUCCUGCUAGCCCAGUGCUACAGCCCGGAUUCACUUGCUGAUGACCGACACGUUCGAUGCUGGGUCAUGGAUGCCUGUCCUUGUAAGUCUGUGCCACUUUGGGUUUACGACUAGCCAUGUCAGCCCGGGCUCUUUACCAUAUGGAUGCUAGCGACACUAUCAUAUACGUGUGCCAAAAGGCGCAAACGGUCCCGGGUAAAGGUAAGACGACACCCGUGGGAAUACCGUGCGUGAGGCCGCAAAGUGAUAUGAGGUGUUACAUGCUAGAUCGAUGUGGCAUCGAGUCGGGUUCCUGACAAUCCACUUGCCUCCCUCUCCGGACAUGGCUGGAGAAGGUCGAGGCGAGAUGUGAGGACUUGGGCGCUGGAGCUCGAGUGCGCGGAGAUGGAUAAGCAAAGGAGGAAGAAGGCGCAGGUAAAAAGGUGGAUCCUUAUCCCCUUAUAUAUGGGCAGACGACUAUGCGUCCCCACCAGCCUGGUAAAACUCGCUUUUCUCCCAAGCGCCGCAAUCAAAGGCGCGGUUGGGUUACCCACAUCCGUAUUGAUGAGAAUCCCGGAAUAAGGGGAGCACGAUCUCUGCUUCGACAAGACGUGCCAAGGAAACCGCUUCGCUAAACACGCUGAGGCGGUAUAAUAAAAACGAUUCGAGUGAAGGCUUGGUUGUGGUGUGACGUCACGCCACGAAAUACGUCAGCAGAUUGAACUUGUGUAAAUAUUAUUCUCUCUACGGUGGAAUGUGAAAUUUAUUUUGCAGAGCCGGACACUAUCCUGGUGUUCACAAUCUUCUACAAAUUAUUCGGAGAAGGAACCCGCCUUGCAAUGCCAAAGACAAUAUGCGCGCCGGACUCGUCGUCAUUGAAGCCUGGUUCAGGGGCUACUGAGGGAGUCCUGGACUAGGGGGUGUCCGGAUAGCCGAACUAUCAUCAUCGGCCGGACUCCAAGACUAUGAAGAUACAAGAUUGAAGACUUCAUCCUGUGUCCGGAUGGGACUUUCCUUGGCGUAGAAGGCAAGCUUGGCAAUACGGAUAUGUAGAUCUCCUACCAUUGUAACCGACUCUAUGUAACCCUAGCCCUCUCCGGUGUCUAUAUAAACCGGAUGGUUUUAGUCCAUAGAGAAACAACAAUCAUACCAUAGGCUAGCUUCUAGGGUUUAGCCUCCUUGAUCUCGUGGUAGAUCUACUCUUGUAAUACCCACAUCAUCAAUAUCAAUCAAGCAGGGCGUAGGGUUUUACCUCCAUCAAGAGGGCCCGAACCUGGGUAAAACAUCGUGUCCCUUGUCUCCUGUUACCAUCCGCCUAGACGCACAGUUCGGGACCCCCUACCCGAGAUCCGCCGGUUUUUACACCGACACCAUGCCAUAUUCAUAGUGGUGCAAUCCAUGUAUUUUUGUGAAUCUUGUACUGAGUGCGUCGAGCUCGUGAAUUAGAGUACUUGUUGUUGUUGUUUUGCUAGGUUGAAUCUGUUACAUCAUAAUGCUAUGUUAACCUGCUGCUACAAGUCAUUCUAUGCAUAAUCUGGAGAUGUUCACUAAGGAUGUUUUGUUACACAUGUCAUGCUCUUCCCAUUCAUGUCCCUGGUUGCAUUUAUAGUGUGCUUUAACUUGUUGUUAACUUGCUCCAAACUUUCUAAAUAAUGUUGCUGUCAGCCUGUUAACAUUAAGUUCAAUGUUGCCAUGGUUGUUGCUAGUGAUCCAUGCAUCCUAUGAACAUGUUCUUGCCAUGCUUAGCUUCAUAAACAUGCCUUCUUACUGUUGGUCACCUUGCCAUGCCAUGUAUUGCUCUGUGAUGAGUGUUUCAAGCUCACCAACAUACAUACUUAUUGUUGUUCCUGCCAUGUAUGAAUCUGUCAUAUCAUUUGCCAUGUUUGCAUGGAUCCUACCAUGUUUUCUGUUGAUCUUUGGAUUAAGUUCAGUAAGGGAGUUUUGUUCUUUGUCUUUAGUACUAGCAUGCCAUGCCUUUGUUUUCCAUAUUAAGUUCAUGCAACAUGUUGUUUGAUAGUCUAAACAUUGCAACCUAAUGUUAUUUCUGCUAAGCCUGAAACUUUUAUUAUUUGCAAUCUUGCCAUGUCCUUUUGAGCAUGAUCUUGUGAUUUCUGGAGAUAGCUCAGUGUUCAUGUUUUGUCAUGCUUUACCUGUACUUCAUGCCCAUGCCUUUUGUUAUUAUGUUGGGGUGAUGUAGCUUGUUGUUUUGAUGUUUGCAAGAUGCCUAGUUGCUGUUUUGGGUAGAUUGUUACUAUAACUUGUAUAGAGUGUAUGUGUUGCCCCGUUGCUCCGUUUUGAGUGUGCUCUAUAUGAAACUUGCUUAGAAUUGCAUGUAGUUUCAUAUUAUCAUGUUGCAUCCUUGUUUUGAGGUGUUUGCUUGAUGUAUGUAUGCAUUUUUCAUCAAUGCCAUGUUUAACUUGUUUUGCUCAUAUCUUCUAGGCCGUAGCUCCGAACUAAAUGAACUUUAUAUGUAACUUGACUAGAAUUUCAUGUAGAUCCUCUUGGUGCUCUUUAACUUGCUGUUUAACAACUUCAACUUAAUGUUUGUUCAGAUCUGGACCAACUUUGAAACUUGCAUAUGAGGACCUACCAGAUUUGUUAUAUGUUGUUUCCGGCCUCAUUUAAACUUGCUUUGAUGUAUUGCUCUUGUUUGCAUCAUCUCUUGCCAUGAGUAGUUUCAUGUAGCCUUGUCAUGCAUCAUACUUGAGUAUGAAUCAUGUCAUGUAUAUGUGUGGUGUGUUUACCGUGUUGUGUGCUUCUUCUCGAUAGUUCCCGUUUCGUUGCGAUCGUGAGGAUUCGUUCAUCUACGCUUGGUUCGUCUUCGUGGCUUCAUCUUCUUCAUGGACUCGUUCUUCUUCCUUGCGGGAUUUCAGGCAAGAUGACCGCUACCCUGGAUCUCACUACUAUCAUUGCUAUGCUAGUUGCUUCGUUCUAUCGCUAUGCUGCGCUUCCUAUCACUUGUUCUUCAAGCCUCCCCAAAUUGCCAUGAACCUCUAACCUUUGACACCCUUCCUAGCAAACCGUUGUUUGGCUAUGUUACCGCUUUGCUCAGCCCCUCUUAUAGCGUUGUUAGUUGCAGGUGAAGUUGAAGAUUGCUCCAUGGUGGACAGGGUUAUGUUGGGAUAUCACAAUAUCUCUUAUAUUAUUAAUGCAUCUAUAUACUUGGUAAAGGGUGGAAGGCUCGGCCUUAUGCCUGGUGUUUUGUUCCACUCUUGCCGCCCUAGUUUCCGUCAUAUCGGUAUUAUGUUCCCGGAUUUUGCGUCCCUAACACGGUUGGGUGAUUUAUGGGACCCCCUUGACAGUUCGCUUUAAAUAAAACUCCUUCAGCAAGGCCCAACCUUGGUUUUACCAUUUGCCUCACCACCACCUACUUUUCCCUUGGGAGUCGCUCUCUCGAGGGUCAUCUUUAUCUUAGCCCCCCUGGGCCAAUGCUUGUCUAAGUGUUGGUCCGAACCAGAACCCUUUGCAGCGCCCCCUCAAGGAAACUUGAGGUCUGGUGUGAGUUGUACGGAUUACUCAUCCGGUGUUGCCCUGAGAACGAGAUAUGUGCAGCUCCUAUCGGGAUUGUCGGCACAUCGGGCGGUCUUGCUGGUCUUGUUUUACCAUUGUCGAAAUGUCUUGUAAACCGGGAUUCCGAGACUGAUCGGGUCUUCCUGGGAGAAGGAAUAUCCUUCGUUGAUCGCGAGAGCUUAUCAUGGGCUAAGUUGUGACACCCCUGCAGGGUAUAAACUUUCGAGAGCCGUGCCCGCGGUUAUGUGGCAGAUGAGAAUUUGUUAAUGUCCGCUUGUAGAUAACUUGACACCAGAUCUGAAUUAAAAUGCAUCAACCGUGUGUGUAGCCGUGAUGGUCUCUUUUUGGUGGAGUCCGGGAAGUGAACACGGUUUUAGGUUAUGUUUGACAUAAGUAGGAGUUCAGGAUCACCUCUUGAUCAUUACUAGCUUCACGACCGUUCCGUUUGUUCUCUUCUCACUCUUAUUUGCGUAUGUUAGCCACCAUACUUGCUUAGUCGCUGCUGCAACCUCACCACUUUACCCCUUCCUUUCCCAUUAAGCUUUGCUAGUCUUGACUCCCAUGGUAAUGGGAUUGCUGAGUCCUCGUGGCUCACAGAUUACUACAACAACAGUUGCAGGUACAAGUUAUGCGAUGAUCAUGACGCGAGAGCGAUGUUUGCUUGUUUUGGAGUUCUUCUUCUGCUUCUUCUUCGAUCAGGGGAUAGGUUCCAGGUCGGCAGCCUGGGCUAGCAGGGUGGAUGUCGUUUGAGUUUCUGUUUGUGUUUCCUCCGUAGGCGGAUGGUGCUCUUAUGUAAGAUGAUGUUGUAUUCAUGUGGCAUUGUAUGCCUUUUGUAUGUAUCCCUAUCUCUUAUGUAAUGUUGAUGUAAUGAUAUCCACCUUGCAAAAGCGUCUUCAAGAUGCGCUUCUAUCCUUGGUGGGACCUUCGAGUUCCUUUAGGAUAGGGUCGCAUCUUGGGCGUGACAAGUUGUUAUCAGAGCCUCGACUGACCCUAGGAGCCCCCUUGUUUGAUCGUGUAGUUUGGCCGUUGUCGAGUCUAGAAGAAAACUAUUUUCGGAGUCUAGUUAUAUCGGAGAGUAGGAAUUUUUUUUACUCCUCAGCCCCUUCGUCGCUCUGGUGAGGAAUCUUGACGUAGGUAUUUUGAAUUACUCCUCUUCCCCUUCAAAACUUUCUUUAGGAUCACGCAGUUGGUUUUCCGAUCGUUGGUUCUUAGCUCUUUUUAUCCGGUGCAUUUCUCGUCAAGUCGACUCGAGCCUCUUCAUCGUUGCCAAGUUCAAUCCUCAGUUGUUUUUCUUUUUCCCACCCACCCACCCCUUUUUCAUCUCGGAGUCAGAGUCCGUAAUCGAGUAUCCAUCCUACUCGUGUGAAGUCUUUGCUUUCUUUCCUCAAUUAUUUCAACCGGUGUUUUCUCUUCAAGUUAUUCUGUAACACCCGGAUAAUUAAGCUAUAGUAAACCCCUAUUAAUGGUGCCAUGUCAUCAUGUUACUGUUGCUAAUCCUCAUUUGAUCCAACUCAUAACUCAAAUUCAAAUUCAAGUUAAAGUAAAAAAAUCAAAUUUCUCAAACAUGCAAAUAAAAUGUUCAAAGUAUUGCAAAUACUCCAUAACUAAUUAUGGUUGUGAACCAACAUUUUUGCAAAGUAUUUAAAUGCCAUUUGGUGAAUAUAACAAGGACUAAAACAAUUAAUUAAAUCUAUUUGAAUAAUAAUAAUUGCAAAGUAUUAUAAUUAAAUACUAAAACUAAUGUGGCAGUGGCAUAAAAAACUAAUGUUGAAUUAGGGGCUAGUAUUAUAUUUUUUGUAAACCUAAAAAUAAAUAAAAGAAACUAAAAGGAUAACAGAAAACUAUAAAAAGAAAAAGAAAAGGAAAUUGCGAAAGAAAAGAAAGGGCCCCUGAACCUCCCCGGGCCUCGAUCCAUCCCAUCAAGCCGGCCCAGCCUUUCCACCUCCCGGGUCGCCCUCCUCCUUCCCUGUUCAUCCGACCGGGGCUCUUCCCGCACGUCCCAGCCGCACCACAUCGCCGACGAUGCCCCUGAGGGGAUAAGAACGCCGUGAACCUCCCCCUCGGCCUCGUCAGCUCCCCCUCGCACAAAUAUCUCUCUCGCCCCACACCCCACUCUCCCUCUCCGACCCCCCUCCUCAGAUCCCCUAGCUCAACGAGUGCCUCCAUGGCUCCGCCGCCGCGCACCACCGCGCCCAUUGGCCACCUCGAGCUGCACGGCUUGUCCAGGAGGACGGGCGUGCUCCUCUUCAUCGACCACACCCCGGGGUCGAGGCCGAGAAGCACCACCAGUGACGCCCGCGCCCGUUCCCCUCGUCGGCGUCCACCUCGGCCACCGGUUCGAUCCGCGGACGUCCGACCCUCGGCCCCCUCGACCUCGUCGCGACCCUCACUGUGAGCUCGCGCACCUCCCCUCUCUUCUCGUUUUACGCGCGUGCCCCUAGCUCUGAUUUUCCCCGCCGUUGCCGAACCUCGACGCAGCUACUGUCAAAGUUGCUGCUGGUGUUGUUUGUUGCAGCCGCCGUCGCCAUUACAAGGCACCCCAGCCGCUGCCGUUGAUGCAAAUCGACGCGUUGCAUCGCUGCGGUCCCGUAGCUUCUCCUCCCAGGCCAAAUGGUGGCCGGGAGCGCCGAUCCGCGUGUCGCCGAUGUUCCUGAAGCUCGUGACCGGCGCGCGCGUGCGUUUAAAACGUCGGCCUCGCCCGCGUGCCCCAUGCCCGUCCGUGCUCGCCCAGCCACCCGCUGUUGUUGCCUGCUUCCGCCACUGGCGCCGCGGUCGCUGUCUUCUGCGCCCGCACCGCGACCCAUCGUCACCCGCAGCGGCCCUUGCCCUGUGCUGCUGUUGCUCUCUGCGCCGAGGCUUCCAUGGCCUGCUUCCCUCACCCACCACGGCCUGCUGCCGCUGCUUAGCCGUAGCUGCUGCUGCUCAAACCUGCUGCUGCGUUGCUACCGAGUGUGCUGCGUGGUGUGUGUGCGUGUGUGUUCUGGUGUGUGGCUGGCUUUUACCACAGCCGUGUGUGUGGCCGGCCUUUUGCUAGCUUAGGGGCUAAUCCCCAACUAAAACAAGCCCCUUUGUUAGACUAGUUUAUAUUAGGCUUAGUUCUAGUUGUACCCUAUGACAUGUGGGCCAGCCCCUAUAAAACCAAAAAAAGGAACGAAAAAGGAAAUAAAAAAAUUAGAAAUUAAUCAAUUAAUUAAUUAGUAAUAUAAUUAAUUAACUUAAUUAAGAUGCUUAAUAACCUAAUUAACUAGAUUAGUUAAUCUAGUAUUAUUUAACUAAACUGUGUCUAUGACAGGUGGACCCCACCCGCUGUUGACCAGUCAAACAUUGACUGGUCAACUGGGACCCCCUGGACCCAUUGGUCAGCCCCUGGGUGCAUUCUGGGUGCACUACACGGGGUGCACUUAGCAGUUUUGCUAUUCUAAUUCAAAUUAAUAAUAAAUCCAGAAUAUUGUUUAAAUCUUUGAAAAAUCGUAGAAAUUAAAUCGUAGCUCGGAUGAAAAAGUUCUCUACAUGAAAGUUGCUCAGAAUUUCGAGACGAAUCCGGAUACGCGAUCCGUUCGUCGGCCACACGUCUCUAGCAUAGCCAACCUACAAACUUUCCCCUCCGGUUCAUCUGUCUAACAGACGUCCGGGACCAGGGAAACUUUCCCGGAUGUUUCCCCCUUCGCCAGUAUCUCCUAGCACUGAGUUAGAACACCUCUAUUGCCGCUUAUUGUCUUGUUAUGCUUAUGUUUGCGUGUAUUUACUGUUUCUUCCCCCUCUUCUUCUCCGGUAGACCUCGAGACCGCUGCUGAUGCCCCUGUGAUCAACUACAUCGACGACGACCCUUGUUCUGUUUCAGCAAAGCUUCCAGGCAAGCCCCCCCUUUGAUCAUCCCGAUAUCGCCCAUUCUAUACUCUCAUACUUGCAUUAGAUUUUGCUACUGUUAUUGAUUGCUCAUAUUCUGAUGCAUAGCCUGUUUUUGUAACCUGCUGUUGUACCUUACCUGCUUAUUCUAAACUGCUUAGUAUAGGUUGGUUAGUGAUCCAUCAGUGACCCCCACUUGUCUUUGUUGCCCCUGCUUCAUCAUCCACGACUCGAUCAACAUGAUCGACGACAGCCCGACACCUCACGUCACAUCACGCCCCUUUAGUUGCUCGACUCUGCAGAGCUACUAUCGAGUGCCGAGGGUGAUCCCUCAUAACGCACUCCUGAUGAUAAUUCUGUAGUGUAGCUAUUCGGUCGUGGUCAUCGAGGGUGAUUUCCUCUUUCACCAUUCCCAUUACGGCUCUGUUGUGCAACACCUCAAGUGUGAACCUUGAGGGUGGUCCCUCUUACGUUCACCUUGAUGAUUACAUUGAGUGGAAUCCAUUGGGGAUGAUUCCUCGGGUUUUUCCCUUGAUGUCUGGAUGCACAGUUACCUUGACUUCACUUGAGACCGUUGUGAAAGCCGGGCGGGCCCGGAGAGCACCCGUGCGAUGUGACAGUGGCGGCUGGCUGUUUAGCGGUAUCACCCAGAAGGGGUGAUAGCUCCGGACUUGUCCCGACAGCCGUCACUCCUUUUAAUAGUGCACUAACAUGUUUGGGUAUUUGUUCUGAGUUGGCCUUUGGCCUUUACACACUAACCACCACGCGAGGAUAGUUAUGGGUCUCAACGUCGCAGUAUCAGCCGAAGCUUUGUCAGACGUCCAGUUCAGCAGUGCGGCACGGUCGGAUCGUGCUGGCCGUCCGAGGCGGUACUGGUAUCCACCCUGCUCACAACGACCCGGAGUGCUGCGGGCGAUGGGCCCAAGACCCCGGAGUGCUUAGGUUGUAGACCGGCGGGGACCUCUCUGCUGAGCCUAGGUAGGGCUGCGACGUGUUGAUCUUCCGAGGGCGGGCAUUGACCCCAAAAAGGUGUGUCCGGCCAGAGUGAUCGAGCGUGUUGGGUAACGUGGUGCACCCCUGCAGGGAAGAUCUUUAUUCGAAUACCGUGUCCUCGAUAAUGGAUGUUCAGACUUGUAUCCUGAUCUUAUACAACUAGAAAUGGAUACUUGAUAUGUGAUGGAUAUGUGGCUCCGGGAUUGCUUUCUCGCAGGGAGUCGAGGAAGGAUCUCUGGGCAUUAAUGUUACAACAUGCCUGUUAAUUAUAAACUGCUAUUCUUUACUCUUCUACAUGCUGCAAGAUGCUCGAAGCUGCGUGAAGAUGCUAGUCUUCGAUAGGCUAGGCCUUCCCCCCUUAUUUUGGCAUUCUGCAGUUCAGUCCACAGAUACAUCCUUUUCAUUUGAUACCAAUGCAUACUUAGUAUAGAUCUGAUGCUUGCGAGUACUUUGGAUGAGUACUCACGGUUGCUUUGCUCCCCCUUUUAUCCCUUUCUUCCUUCUUUCCGGUUGUUGCAACCAGAUGGUGGAUCCCUGGAGCUGGAUGCCACCGCUGACGGAUUCUGCUACGUGGAGACCGCCGACGAUUGUUUGGAUUCUGCCCUUCUAGCAACCCUCUUGCUUUGAAGUUAAUGGUCGUCCGUUCAUUCUUAGACUAUUGAUUAUUGUAUCGCCAUUUCGAGAUUGGUCAUGCUCCCUAAGCCCAUAUUUUAGGUGCACCUUUCAACCAGUGUUUAAUGGUGUAUGUUUUCCUCGAGCAUACAUCAUUAUAUCAUUUGAUCUGACAAAUGUUAUCUCCUUGUUUAUAUAACUGUGGAAAUCCAUCUUUUUGAAAAAUCUCAAUGAGUUGAUGCUAAGUCCAUCAGCCACCUUCUCAUCCCCUCCUUGAUUUAAUGAUGAACUAUUGCUUCAGGAACCCGCUCCCGUAGUUCUUUUCCUGAGAAUCUUGCAUGUCAUUUCGUCGAUUUGUGUUGCACUUUUUCUUCUCGGACAUCCUGAGUCUGAGGUAUCAUGACACCAAUCGGAUCUGAAUCUCGGUCAGAUAUGAUGGUUGGGACAACUUUCCAGGAGUUAUGAUGUUGGUCCGUUGAUGACCCGGUAAGAUGAUGUCAUGCCUAGCAAUCCCCCUGGCUGGAGGACCUAUCAUUAUAAUUUCUUUUGUAAGGAUAACCAUUCUUCCUAAAGGAAAUUGUAAGACUUGUUUUAUAAGUUGCUCCUGAUGGAUCAUUUGUGUAUCCAAAGUCCGGCCCUUGAUUGAAACACCAUAUCAAUGCUACCUCGAAGCAUGACUAUGAUACCCCGCUCUUCAACAAGAACAUUGGAGACGCGAUGCUAAUAUUUCUUUGUCAGUUACCCAAACACCGUUAUAUGGGUAACAUCUUGAUUAAUCCUUGCCUCUUAUCUGAAUGGUUGGGCACUUGCUCUCCUACCCUAUAUGUCAUGCUCUGCUUGUACAUGAGAAGGAUAUACUCCUUAUAAUUGUGUGUAAUCACAAUUUUCCUUUCCAUUCUUUUGUUUAACCUUUCCUGAAUCUGACUUAACUAAGCAGAGAUAAUUCCCUGCUUAGGUAGGCACCUUGUUGUACCAUUUUGUCUGUAAGAUCCUGUUACUAUUGUUGAUGAUAUUCCGGUAACCACCGACGGGUGAUAACUUCACCAAUUGGUUCGCCUCGUUCAACAAGCAGGAAAAUUGCUCUCUUCAUUCCCCGUCCUUGGUACUGACAUUGUUGCCAGCAUACCUGACAAGCUAUCCACUGACAUGCCUCCCUGUCGCGGCUGUUCCAGAUGUCAUCACCCUUCCUACUUUCAACCCACAUGAUGGGCCCAUAACCCACAGGUCCACUGGAUCGAAACCUGACUCUCCUGUACACCCCAUGUUCCCAAAGUUAUUCCUCCCGCGUGGACUCAUAUGUAAUUCAUGAGCCACCUCCCGUUGAGAUCAUCAAUUCUGGCAUCGGAUACAAUAAUUAUUCCGUUGCUUUGAAACCCUUUUCACCUUCUGACUAGGCAUUGAACGAUUGCCUGGAUGCUUGAAACUUCUUAUUGUAUCUUCGAACUUUACUCUCGAUGUGUUUUAUUUGAUCAAACUUGAUAGGUAUUCGUAUGCUCAUUCAUGGGUUAAUCUCAGAGUAUUAGUCUUAUAGCAUUCUGUCGUUGUCGAUCUGCCCCGUUACCUAUUUGUAAGUACGAUGGAACCCCCGAAGAAAGGAUGUCGACUUCAUCUUGAUGACCUGAAGCAGAAAAAUGAAGACAUCAAUAUAAUGGAUCGACCACUUCGAGAGGAGCAACCAAGACCGAGAAGAUUCGUUAGAAUUUCGUAACCAAACCUUUCCCCCUUAGACCCCUCUUAAAUCUUGGGACGAGAUUUUUUGUAGUGGAGGAGAAUUGUGACGCCCGGAUAUUUAAGCUACAGUGAACCUCUGCUAAUGAUACCACGUCACCCUAAUUACUGUUGCUAAUCUCGAGUUAGUUCGAAACCGGUUCAGAUUUAAAUUCAAAAUCAAGCAAACAAUAAAAGUUUUCAAAUGUUAAAAAUAAAAAUGUUCGGAGUGUGCAGUUAAAUGCCUAGGUAAUUAUUAUGGAGAAAACUCAUUUUUAGAAAUUGCCUAAAUAUUUUAAAGUGAUUUAAACAGAAAAUAAAAUAAAUAAAAUAAAAGAAAUAAAAACAGAAAACAAAUAAAUACAAAAAAAGAAGGACCCCCCACGGGCUCCGGCCCAGCAGGCCAUCAGCCCCACUGGGCCAACCCACUAGGCCUAGCCGGGCACUCCCCCCCAACUCCCCCUUAUCCACUCACCCCCGAAACCCUAGGGCAUUGAACCCCCCACUCUCCUCACUCCUCCGUCUCCCUCGCACCCCCGAUCUAGAUCGGGGAAAGCGGCGCCCCGACCCCAUCACUUCGACGCCCUGCCCCUGCCGAUGCCGCCAGCGCUCCUCGUCGUCGCAUCGUCCCACCUCCACCUUGCCAUCGCCGGAUCGCCUCGUCACCUUCCCGCCCCCGGAGGCUGCCGCUCGCCGCCCGUACACCGACGCUGCCCGAUCUCGUCGCCCUCGGUGCCCGCGGCCGCACUUCGCCCGACCCCGUCGCCGUCGCACCUCGCCAGGAUGCCGCCGCCUCCACCUCGUCGUUCUACCCCGCCGGCCUGCCUCCCGCUCCGUGGCGUCGUCCCCGUCGACCACCCCGAGCCUCCCCGAGCCCACUGCCUGUACCCUACUCCUCUGUGAGCUCCUCUUUCCUCCUCUCACUACCGUGGUCGCGCCCUCUCCCCGCGCUCGGCUCCGCCACCUGACGUCGCCCGCGGACAGCCGCACCCGGCCAACCCAGAGGCACUCGCGCCCUCACCGCCUGCCGCGCGUGCGCGCGCGCACACGCGCGUCCCUCACCUGCCGCGGCCUCCUUCCCCUCGCCGUGCUCUGCCCUGGCCUUCUCCUCCUCCUACCGCUGUUGCAUGGUUGUUGCUGCUGCCUCGGGCCGCCGUUGUUCGUCACCGUGUGCGCGCCCGCUGCCGCUGCCCCUGUCCGCCUCCGCCCACCGUGGCCCUCGUGCCCCGCUGCGGCAACCCCCGCCCUGGGCAGGCUACGGGCGCCCGUCGCCCGUUACGCCCACGCCCGCUGCCCGUUAAGCCGCACCCGCCCUGGUUGGCCCCUAGGGCAAAUGACAAGGGGGCCCCAGCGCCCCAGAAAGAUUUAAAAAAAGAUAAUAAUAAAUAUAAUUAAAUACUAAAUAAUCAAUUAAUUAACUAAAUAGUUAACUUAAUUAAUUCUGUUUAAAUUAAUUAAUUAAAUUAGUUAACCUAAUUAAUUGUAGUUAAUAAACCUAAUCAUUUUAGUUAGACUAACUAAACCUGAUUAGUUAGUCUUAGACAAUGACAACCGGGACCCACGCGUUAGUUUGACCAAGUCAACUGGCUAUUGACUGCUGACAUCCCCCUGACGUCAUGCUGACGUCAUGAUGACAGCAUGCACUGUUCUGGACAAUGUUGUAUUAAAUUAAUUAAAUAAAUGCUAAAAUUAAUUUGAAUCUUUUAAAAUUCAUAUAAAAUAAACCGUAGCUCGGAUGAAAAUACUUUGUACAUAAAAGUUGCUCAGAACGACGGGACGAAUCCGGACACACAGUCUGUUCGCCCGCCACACAUCCCUAGCAUAGCAAACCUGCAACAUUUCACCUAUGGUUCAUCUGUCCAAAAACGCGAAACACCGAGAACACUUUCUCAGAUGUUUCCCCCCUUCGCCGGUAUCACCUACAACUACGUUAGGUCACCCUAGCACCGCAUAUUGCCGCGUCUUGCUUUGUGUUACAUUUGAUUGCUUUGUUAUUUAUUGUGUUCCCCCUCCGUUACUUCUUUCCGGUAGACUCUGAGACCGGUGCCGAUGUCCGUGUGUUCGACUACACCGAAGAUGACCCCUCCUUGCCAGAGCAACCUGGCAAGCCCCCCCUUUGAUCACCAGAUAUCGCCUAUUCUUCUCUAUACUGCUUGCAUUAGAGUAGUGUAGCAUGUUACUGUUCGGUUACUCCUAUUCUGUUGCAUAGCCUGUCAAUGUUGCUACAGUCAUUGAUACCUUACCCGCAAUCCUAAUUGCUUAGUAUAGGAUGCUAGUUUAUCAUCAUUGGCCCUACAUUCUUGUCAGUCUGCCUUACUAUACUAUCGGGCCGUGAUCCCUCGGGAGGUGAUCACGGGUAUAUGCUAUACAUAUACAUAUACUAUAUAGAUGGUGACUAAAGUCGGGUCAGCUCGUUGAGUACCCGCAAGUAAUUCGGAUAUGGGGGCUGGAAGGACAGGUGGCUCCAUCUCGGUAGAGGUGGGCCUGGGUUCUUGACGGCCCCCGACUGUUACUUUGUGGCGGAGCGACAGGGCAGGUUGAGACCACCAAGGAGACAGGUGGGCCUGGCCCUGUUCGGCGUUCGCGGAUACUUAACACGCUUAACGAGAUCUUGGUAUUUGAUCUGAGUCUGGCUACUGGCCUAUACGCACUAACCAACUACGCGGGAACAGUUAUGGGCACUCGACGUCGUGGUAUCAGCCGAAGCCUUCUUGACGUCAGCGACGGAGCGGCGCGCGCCGGAUUGGACUGGAACGCCUACUCUUGUAUAAGAGAGGCUAGGUCUGCUUCCGGCCGCCCUCGCAACGUGUAGGUGUGCAAUGGGCGAUGGGCCCAGACCCCUGCGCGCAUAGGAUUUAGACCGGCGUGUUGACCUCUCUGUUGUGCCUAGCUGGGGCUACGACGUGUUGAUCUUCCGAGGCCGGGCAUGACCCAGAAAAGUGUGUCCGGCCAAAUGGGAUCGAGCGUGUUCGGUUAUGUGGUGCACCCCUGCAGGGAAGUAAAUCUAUUCGAAUAGCCGUGAUCUUCGGUAACAGGACGACUUGGAGUUGUACCUUGACCUUAUGACAACUAGAACCGGAUACUUAAUAAAACACACCCUUCCAAGUUCCAUAGACAACCCGGUGAUCGCUUUUCCACAGGGCGACGAGGGGAGGAUCGCCGGGUAGGAUUAUGCUAUGCGAUGCUACUGGAGAUGCUACUUGGAGAUGCUACUUGGAGAUGCUACUUGGAGGACUUCAAUCUACUCUCUUCUACAUGCUGCAAGACGGAGGCUGCCAGAAGCGUAGUCUUUGAUAGGACUAGCUAUCCCCCUCUUAUUCUGGCAUUCUGCAGUUCAGUCCACUGAUAUGGCCUCCUUACACAUAUACCCAUGCAUAUGUAGUGUAGUUCCUUGCUUGCGAGUACUUUGGAUGAGUACUCACGGUUGCUUUCUCCCCCCUUUCCCCCUUUCCUUUCUUUCUGGUUGUCGCAACUAGAUGCUGGAGUCCAGGAGCCAGACGCCACCCUCGACGACGACGACUCCUACUACACCGGAGGUGCCUACUACUACGUGCAACCCGCUGACGACGAUCAGGAGUAGUUUAGGAGGAUCCCAGGCAGGAGGCCUGCGCCUCUUUUGAUCUGUAUCCCAGUUUGUGCUAGCCUUCUUAAGGCAAACUUGUUUAACUUAUGUCUGUACUCAGAUAUUGUUGCUUCCGCUGACUCGUCUAUGAUCGAGCACUUGUAUUCGAGCCCUCGAGGCCCCUGGCUUGUAUUAUGAUGCUUGUAUGACUUAUUUAUGUUUUAGAGUUGUGUUGUGAUAUCUUCCCGUGAGUCCCUGAUCUUGAUCGUACACGUUUGCGUGCAUGAUUAGUGUACGAUUGAAUCGGGGCGUCACAAGUUGGUAUCAGAGNNNNNNNNNNNNNNNNNNNNNNNNNNNNNNNNNNNNNNNNNNNNNNNNNNNNNNNNNNNNNNNNNNNNNNNNNNNNNNNNNNNNNNNNNNNNNNNNNNNNNNNNNNNNNNNNNNNNNNNNNAUUAGUGUACGAUUGAAUCGGGGCGUCACAAGUAGUUAGGAGGUCCCAGGCAGGAGGCCUUGCCUCUUCGAUCGUUGAUGUUUGUGCUAGCCUUCUUAACGCAUUCUUGUAUAACUUAUGUCUGUACUCAGAUAUUGUUGUUUCCGCUGACUCUUGUGUAUCGAGCUUUUGUAUUCGAGCCCUCGAGGCCCCUGGCUUGUAAUAUAAAGCUUGUAUUAUGUUAUUUGUGUCUAGAGUUGUGUUGUGAUAUCUUCCCGUGAGUCCCUGAUCUUGAUCGUACACAUUUGCGUGUAUGAUUAGUGUACGAUUGAAUCGGGGGCGUCACAUAUUCAUAGGUUUUUCCCCUUCCAAGUUGCCUUUGUUUUCCCGCCCUCCCACCCUCUUCUUCCCGGAGUCUGAGUCUGUUUUGACCAUCAAUUUCAUUCGUGCGGAGCCUCUUCAGUCUUCCAUCAAUCAUUUCAACCGGUGAAUUCUCGUCUCGGUGGACAUUCUUCAUCUCUUUUUCUUCUCCGGUGGAUUCAAUUCAAGUUUUUCGUUGUCGAUCGUAUUCUUUCCCUCAGCUCAAAUAUUUCCCUUUGCUCGUUCGCCUCUCGCCAGUUUAUCCUUCCGGAGUGUUAAAGACAUCUCAGGAGAUUUGUCUAUGUUUCAAUUAAUUCGAGGUUAUAACAUCAUUCAAAUAUUUCAAUUAUCCUGGUGCAUCAUCUAUCUUUUGAACAACCAUUUCCAAAGGUGUUUCCUUUCAGUGGGCCCUAACCCACAGGUCUUUUCCCAGGAUCUUACCUGACUCUUCUAAUUUCCCGGAGCUAUUCUAAAAUUCUUUUCGAAGUAUGACGUAAGUAUGAAUUUCAUCAGUCAGAUGCCAUCUCCAAGAUCGCUUUUAAAUUCUUUUCAUCUUUGGUUCUACCCUUCCUCUUUGUCAUUCUCCCGGAGUAUCUCAAUAAUUUUGGUGGAGUUCCUCAUCGUCAUUUCAAGAUAGAAGAAGAGUUUUUCCUCUAAAUCUUGUCUGUUCUCUCGAAGUUUCGUGGUUCUAGCUUCAUGUUAUCCUCGCAAAUUAUUCCAUUUGUCAGAUCUUUUUUCUUAACCCAUCCGGAGUAUGUCAGGAGUUGUUUUUGCUGUCUCGAUCAUCCGGAGGCCAUCUUUUCGGAAUAUUUCUUCGUUCCAAGUUUUCAGAUUCAUUCCCCAAUUAUUCUAUAUCCGUGCCCCUUCGUUCAUCUCAAUAUUCUUCCGGUGCUUCGUUCAAGUAUUCUUCAAUCAGUUCGCGAUCCCUUCGUUAUCUUGUCUUUUUAUCCCUUAAGUAUCUUUGUGCUUUUCUAAUUCUUCCUGGUGAUUCAGUCUCUUUCAUCAGUCAUGUUCGAAUUCUUACGGUGGUUCGUUCAAGAUUUUUUUUUCUUUUUGUUAUCACAUUAAUUCAUUCGUUCUUUCCAAUCCUACCGGUGGUUCAUGAAGACUUUCUCAAGUUUUGUGCUAUAUCCCCUCUUAAUCUUUUCCAACGCGAAUAAGUAGUAUGCAAAUCCGUUGCUUCGCAUCAAUUUAAUUGAUGGAGGAUAAGCAUACAAUAAAUCUUAUUCUUAUUUCAUUCAAGUGAGUAAUCCCUUCCUUCGGAGUUUGCUCUUGAUGAAUAAAUUCUAGUUCCAAGUGUUUUCAUCUUUUCCGGAGUUCAAAUUUUCUCGGUCAUUUCGUCGGAACCUCCAUCUAAAUCACCGCAAGGCUCAUCUUACUCUUUCAUCCUUCUUUCUAUCUCAUCAUCCUUUUGUUACCGGAGUUCUCCAUGGUGGUUCGUCAUGAUUUAAUUCAUUCUUCAAGAGUUCAUCAAGAUUUUGUUGGAGAAAUUCAAGUAUCUUUCUUCUCGCGUCUCGAAGUGUAAUUAAUUCUCCGUAUUCUUUUGAAGUGGAGUUUUGCAUUUCUUCGUUUUUCUUAGCUAUCCAAUCAUUUCCGUUUGUGGUCGGUGAUCACCUCAUAAUUUUGAGAUGUUAUCUAUAAGUCCACAACAAGCUUAUUCUCUCGUUGUUGAUUUCCUCAACAACUCCGUUCUAACCUACCUUCUAAAGAUGCUUCCAAUUUCAUUCGUGGCACAAGUUGUCAUUUUCUUCUCCGUUCUUUCCAUUCAACUCUUUCAAUUCUUUCCGGAGGUUUUGUGUCAUGUCUUCAUCAAGUAUCAUUCCAUCCUCUCAAGCUCGUGUUUUAUUCAUCCAUGUUUCAGCCGGAGUGCUGCCUAAAUCCUUUCAGUCUUAUUCGUUUCUUAUCUCGUUCUAACCGGAGUGAUUUCAUAGUCUAUCUGAUUCCGUGAGCUUUAGAUUCUCGUUAUUCUCAUCGUUCCUCUCUUCUUCUCGAGUGCUCUCGAAUCUUGCUUCUUCUCUUGAGUUCUUGUUUCACCUCAUCCCUUUUCCCUUCCGUCUCGGUCCUAAGAUCUCGGGACGAGAUCUCUUGUUAGUAAAGGAGAGUUGUCAUGCCCCGGAUUCGAUGCGCCAGGUGUCUUCCAGUUAUUCGUCAUUGUUGCCAUGUCAUGUGCUUGCAUGUUGCAUUUUGCCAUGUCAUCAUCUGCAUUUCAUAUCAUGUCAUCAUGUGCAUCUCAUUUUGCAUACGUGUUCAUCUCAUGCAUCCGAGCAUUUUCCCCGUUGUCCGUUUUGCAAUCCGACACUCCUAUGUCCUCCGAUGCCCCCUUUUGCCUCUUUUCGUGUGCGGGUGUUAAACCUUCUUGGAAUGGACCGAGGUUUGUCAAGCGGCCUUGGUACACCACCGGUAGACCGCUUGUCAAGUUUCGUGCCAUUUGGAGUUUGUUUGAUACUCCAACGGUUAACCGGGGAACCGUGAAGCCUCUUUUGUGUGCAGCCCAACACCCCUCCAAAACAGCCCUUGAGCCCAUCCAAACCCCCUCCAUGCUCUCGGUCGUUCGAUCACGAUCGCGUGACCGAAAACCGCACCCCAUUUGGAGUCUCCUAGCUCCCUCUACCUAUAAAUAUGUGCCUUCCCCGAAAAUCCCGGGUCCCGAAACACUAGCCCCGCUCCCUCUCCGCCGCCGGACACGUCCGGUCAGACCGGACAUGUCCGCUCCACCGCGCCUCCCGCCGCAGCGAAUCCCAUCAUGCCACGUGGCGAUCCCCGCCGCCAGCCACCGCCGGCCCGNNNNNNNNNNNNNNNNNNNNNNNNNNNNNNNNNNNNNNNNNNNNNNNNNNNNNNNNNNNNNNNNNNNNNNNNNNNNNNNNNNNNNNNNNNNNNNNNNNNNNNNNNNNNNNNNNNNNNNNNNNNNNNNNNNNNNNNNNNNNNNNNNNNNNNNNNNNNNNNNNNNNNNNNNNNNNNNNNNNNNNNNNNNNNNNNNNNNNNNNNNNNNNNNNNNNNNNNNNNNNNNNNNNNNNNNNNNNNNNNNNNNNNNNNNNNNNNNCUGUCGGCCUCUUCCUUCGCAAGAGCUCGCCGACGCCCGCCUCGAAUCUCGUCGCCGGAGCGUGGCAACCUUGCCUGAGGCCAGAUCUGGCGCCCCCGCGCCCAAACCCAUCCAUUCUCAUCGGUCUCCCCCGGAUCCGGCGAUCUUCCCUGCUGCCGCCGACCAUGGCCUCCUCGCCGGCGUCCUACUCCGCCUCCUGCUCGGGACCGUGCGCCCGAGCGCGUUGACCGCGUGGGCCACGUGGGCCCCGCAAGCCGCUCCAGCCCCGGCCCGCGUCGCCUCUCCACCAGCCCAAGCCUUCCUGCCUCCUCCUCCUUCCUGGGCCGAGCCCAUGGUGAGCCCCGCCUAGAUCCCGCCCCGGUCGCAUUUUAGUAUUCUCUCGCGCGUCCGUUUUUUUUCUAGAAAACUGCCAAGUCCCUGUUUUAUGACAUUUUGUGCACCUCUGUCAUGCCAUACCUCCGUGUAUGUAGCUCCGUUUUGCGUGCAUGAUAUAUCAAAAUGUUCGUCGUGAGAUGCUCUUAAUUUGGUUCCAUUGUGCCAUGCUUGUUUGGAUCCAUCUUGAUGCCCUUAUCAUCAUUGCAAGAGUGCUAUAUGAUGUUAAUCUGCUGAAACUGUUAUAACUUGCUGUUUUGUCUUUUUCGUUGCAUUUUGUGUGUGCAUCCUAUGAGCUUGAGCCCUACAUGUGUUUUGAAGUAUGCCAUGCCAUCUUCACAGUGGUGCAAUCCAUGUAUUUUUGUGAAUCUUGUACUGAGUGCGUUGAGCUCGUGAAUUAGGGUACUUGCUGUUGCUGUUUUGCUACGUUGAAUCUGUUACAUCAUGAUGCUAUGUUAACUUGCUGCUACAAGUCAUUCUAUGCAUAAUCUGAAGAUGUUCACUAAGGACGUUUUGUUACACAUGUCAUGCUCUUCCCAUUCAUGUCCCUGGUUGCAUUUAUAGCAUGCUUUAACUUGUUGUUAUCUUCCUCCAAACUUGCUAAAUAAUGUUGCUGUCAGCCUGUUAACAUUAAGUUCAAUGUUGCCAUGGUUGUUGCUAGUGAUCCAUGCAUCCUAUGAACAUGUUCUUGCGAUUAUUAGCUUCAUAAACAUGCCUUCUUACUGUUGGUCACCUUGCGAUGCCAUGUAUUGCUCUGUGGUGAGUGGAUCAAGCUCACCAACAUGCCUACUUAUUGUUGUUCCUGCCAUGUAUGAAUCUGUCAUAUCAUUUGCCAUGUUUGCAUGGAUCCUACCAUGUUUUCUGUUGAUCUUUGGAUUAAGUUCAGUAAGGGAGUUUUGUUCUUUGUCUUUAGUACUAGCAUGCCAUGCCUUUGUUUGCCAUGUUAAGUUUAUGUAACAUGUUGUUUGAUAGCUCUAAACAUUGCAACCUGAUGUUAUUUCUGCUAAGCCUGAAACUUUUAUUAUUUGCAAUCUUGCCAUGUCCUUUUGAGCAUGAUCUAGUGAUUUCUGGAGAUAGCUCAGUGUUCAUGUUUUGUCAUGCUUUACCUGUACUUCAUGGCCAGGCCUUUUUUUAUUAUGUUGGUGUGUUGUAGCUUGUUGUUUUGAUGUUUGCAAGAUGCCUAGUUGCUGUUUUGGGUAGAUUGUUACUAUAACUUGUAUAGAGUGUAUGUGUUGCACCGUUGCUCCGUUUUGAGUGUGCUCUAUAUGAAACUUGCUUAGAAUUGCAUGUAGUUUCAUAUUAUCAUGUUGCAUCCUUGUUUUGAGGUGUUUGCUUGAUGUAUGUAUGCAUUUUUCAUCAAUGCCAUGCUUAACUUGUUUUGCUCAUAUCUUGUAGGCCGUAGCUCCGAACUAAAUGAACAUUAUAUGUAACUUGACUAGAAUUUCGUGUAGAUCCUCUUGGUGCUCUUUAACUUGCUGUUUAACAACUUCAACUUAAUGUUUGUUCAGAUCUGGACCAACUUUCAAACUUGCAUAUGAGGACCUACCGGAUUUGAUAUAUGUUGUUUCCGGCCUCAUUUAAACUUGCUUUGAUGUGUUGCUCUUGUUUGUAUCAUCUCUUGCCCUGAGUAGUUUCAUGUAGCCUUGUCAUGCAUCAUACUUGAGUGUGCAUCAUGUCAUGUAUAUGUGUGGUGUGUUUACCGUGUUGUGUGCUUCUUCUCGAUAGUUCCCGUUUCAUUGCGAUCGUGAGGAUUCAUUCGUCUACGCUUGGUUCGUCUUCGUGGCUUCAUCUUCUUCAUGGACUCGUUCUUCUUUCUUGCGGGAUUUCAGGCAAGAUGACCGCUACCCUGGAUCUCACUGCUAUCAUUGCUAUGCUAGUUGCUUUGUUCUAUCGCUAUGCUGCGCUUCCUAUCACUUGUUCUUCAAGCCUCCCCAAAUUGCCAUGAACCUCUAACCUUUGACACCCUUCCUAGCAAACCGUUGUUUGGCUAUGUUACAACUUUGCUCAGCCUCUCUUAUAGCGUUGUUAGUUGCAGGUGAAGUUGAAGAUUGCUCCAUGGUGGACAAGGUUAUGUUGGGAUAUCACAAUAUCUCUUAUAUUAUUAAUGCAUCUAUAUACUUGGUAAAGGGUGGAAGGCUCGGCCUUAUGCCUGGUGUUUUUUUCCACUCUUGCCGCCCUAGUUUCCGUCAUAUCGGUAUUAUGUUUCCGGAUUUUGCGUCCCUAACGCGGUUGGGUGAUUUAUGGGACCCCCUUGACAGUUCACUUUGAAUAAAACUCCUCCAGCAAGGCCCAACCUUGGUUUUACCCUUUGCCUCACCACCACCUACUUUUCCCUUGGGAGUCACUCUCUCGAGGGUCAUCUUUAUCUUAGCCCCCCUGGGCCAAUGCUUGUCUAAGUAUUGGUCCGAACCAGAGCCCUUUGCAGCGCCCCCUUAGGGAAACUUGAGGUCUGGUUUUAGUUGUACGGAUUGCUCAUCUGGUGUUGCCCUGAGAACGAGAUAUGUGCAACUCCUAUCGGGAUUGGCGGCACAUCGGGCGGUCUUGCUGGUCUUGUUUUACCAUUGUCGAAAUGUCUUGUAACCGGGAUUCUGAGACUGAUCGGGUCUUCCUGGGAGAAGGAAUAUCCUUCGUUGAUCGCGAGAGCUUAUCAUGGGCUAAGUUGGGACACCCCUGCAGGGUAUAAACUUUCGAGAGCCGUGCCCGCGGUUAUGUGGCAGAUGGGAAUUUGUUAAUAUCCGGUUGUAGAUAACUUGACACCAGGUCCGAAUUGAAACGCAUCAACCGUGUGUGUAGCCCUGAUGGUCUCUUUUCGGCGGAGUCCGGGAAGUAAACACGGUUUUGGGUUAUGUUUGACGUAAGUAGGAGUUCAGGAUCACCUCUUGAUCAUUACUAGCUUCACGACCGUUCCGUUUGUUCUCUUCUCGCUCUUAUUUGUGUAUGUUAGCCACCAUACUUGCUUAGUCGCUGCUGCAACCUCACCACUUUACCCCUUCCUUUCCCAUUAAGCUUUGCUAGUCUUGAUACCAAUGGUAAUGGGAUUGCUGAGUCCUCGUGGCUCACAGAUUACUACAACAACAGUUGCAGGUAGAAGUUAUGCGAUGAUCAUGACGCGAGAGCGAUGUUUGCUUGUUUUGGAGUUCUUCUUCUGCUUCUUCUUCGAUCAGGGGAUAGGUUCCAGGUCGGCAGCCUGGGCUAGCAGGGCGGAUGUCGUUUGAGUUUCUGUUUGUGUUUCCUCCGUAGACGGAUGGUGCGCUUAUGUAAGAUGAUGUUGUAUUCGUGUGGCAUUGUAUGCCUUUUGUAUGUAUUCCUAUCUAUUAUGUAAUGUUGAUGUAAUGAUAUCCACCUUGCAAAAGCGUCUUCAAGAUCCGCUUCUAUCCUUGGUGGGACGUUCAAGUUCCUUUAGGAUAGGGUCGCAUCUUGGGCGUGACAGAAAUAUUGUCUCAACACUCUCGAUGAGAAACGAGAACCCAGCCAAUGAAGGUUUAUGCAUAUAUUGGUCCGCAUCCAGAGGAAGUCAUGGUUUCCAGAUGUGCUCAUCCCUGCUUGUUGAUAUGCAAAUCGAUUGGAAUUGGCAAAUCAUAGAGUUUGUCGCUGACAAGAGCUGUUUUGGCCAUGGUGAUCCUCCUCUCAAUACCCAUUCCUGCGAAUUCCCAAUCCAAUUAUAUUAGUAUAAUGUGUAGAAGAAAAAGGGGAAUCCAUGAGAAAGCCCAUAUUGUUCGUGGCAAUGGAACAUUCCUUUCCACUUUUUUGAAUGGAGAUCACUGACGAGCACUCUUGCGCAAAUCAAGAGUAAAGGUAGGAGCUAUGAAGCUGUCCCGGGUAGGAAAGGAUCCCUUUGAGUUCAUAUUGCUGCAGGAGAAAGAGAAGGGCACAGAGCUUCUAUAUACCACUGGAUUCCACCAGACUGUUCUGUGGAAAACACGGCACCCUAUCCCUUCCUUGACGGGAACCUGGAUACCAUAGCAUAGGAACCUCGAAAAUACGUAUUAUAGGUUGGUUGUAUACACACUCAUCCUUUAAGAAGAUAAGAGAGCCCCGCGGACAUUUCCUUCCUCGAAACCUGGAAACUGAUACUGCCUCGAUUCUGCUUCCGUCUAUCAUGUCCAAUCUUACUUUCGUGCUGAUGAAGGGCAGUCCGAAAGGUGGAGUUAGCACCGGGCCUAUUCUUAGAAGAAUAAGUAGGAGUAGGAGCACUCUUAUUCCGCGAGCGUAGCCGUAUUAGUUGGAUCCGGCAUCCUUUCGACUGGAGAUACCCUAGCAUUACCGGCUUCCCGGCUUACUGGCAAGUUUACUUGACUCACCCAUUCUUGAGCCUGGCCACUACUUUGUUUGAUUUCCUUGUCACUGUAGUAAGCAUGCGGCACCUAUUGAUCUACUUCCCUCUAGCAUCACUCAUCCUUACGGCACUAGUCCAUCCAUCCCUCAACCGAAGAGAGUCUUCCUCCUCACGGAACUAGGGUUUGGUUUCAUAGACAAGACUUUCGAGCGCGACGUUGCGCACAUCCUCUUGCUUGGUAUCUUUUCUAGUGUACAUCACAUUCAUUUUCCUUUCAUGUAGAUAUGAUAAUCUUCGUGGCAUCAACCUCAUAUAGGAGCUGCCAGUAGUACUUUUGCGGGAUUUUAAAGCAGACAAACUUAUGAUGCGAGUCUAGUUAGAAUAGAACCAGUGCACUCUGAACUCCGAACCAGCCAAUACGCUUCGCUUUCCUCUGCUCGUAUAGACUCCAUUCGUGUUAGGACAUCCAUAGCCAAUAGUAAUAGUAGCUAGUAGCUUCGCCCCCCCUUGCCCCCGGAAAGGUUCUCAUUCCUCACUGGAUCUAGUUGACUUGCUGCUACAGCAAUCAAUCUAUCUAUAUGUUCCGGACGGAAGAGAGAGUUUCCUACAUUCCCAUUCCCAUGAACUGAACAUCGGGUACCAACGAUCUGGAAUCCGGUGCUGAAACCUACAGAUAUGCACCUGUGUGGACCAACCUGGCAAUCCUCCUGUCUAUUCUUUCUAUUUGGACUAGCGCUUCCCACUGGAGCUUACUACUUGACUAGAGCACUUGAACUUGUUAGUUUCAUUAGUCAGUUUCCUAGCAUAGCAAAGUGAGUUUCCCAUCAACGGAUUAUCAUCCUGUUGUUUCCAUGAACAUCAGGUACAUAUAUGAACCUGUCAAUGGAGCGGAACAUAUGAUAUGAACCAAGUAGAUUCGUCUUUUUGCUCGUAACGUUAGUAGUUACUCGCUCAUUAGUAGUGAACUAUGAUCAUUUGUGAGGAGUAUGUUUUCAACUCUAUGUAUGUCAAUUUGAGAGUAAAGCGAUCUAUGUCAACCAAGAGCAGAACUCUCUCUAUUUCCGGCACAGGCUUUCUUUCAAUCAAGAAGAAGAUUAUUUCAGAUUUUAUCAGUAUCCGGACUGCUAUCUACUAUCUACCUAUCUAGCUACCCGGGCUCGUUGUGAGGCGGGACCCAACCCUCCUCUUCACUCCACUGCUUCAACAGAAAUGGAUCCAUCAUCUGCUACCCAUGAGUAAGAACAUUACGAAUCUACCACUGAUCCCGAGGGCAAGUAUGAAAAAGAGAGUCAAGCAAGGUUGGAUUCAUAUGUUCCAUUUGAGUAAGCCUCUGAUGCCCUGCGCACAUAGCUUCUUGCAUGCCCGAUGGCUGGACAGAUCUCCCAACCUGGAGUAUAUUCCCGGCCCCGUAGCUUAGCUUAAGAUCUUCGUAUUUCAAGUCCACCGGCAUGGGACCUGACCUUGGGAAUAAGCCCCGCCCUGUCCUCUAAGAUAUGAGAUCCACCCGCACCCAAACCUGGAAAAGCGGCAGGUUCUAGUCGAACUCCAUACCAGAAGAGAAGAGAACCCUUUCCGUUGGAAGAAAGAGAAAAGGGGCCGGGCUAUGCACUUCAAGAGAACCAACCCAAGAAGCACUCAAUAAACUAUUAUAUAUAGUCCUGGCCAAGAGAAGGCCACCAGAUCAAGCUAGCAGGAAGGGGUACUACAGCACCAAGAAAGAUUGAUGGAAAGGGAUAUGAAACUAUUUUAGAUGCACGCUCUAGCUCUAAAUCAAGCUUAUACGCACUCAUAAAGGUGCCGUCUAGUGCCGUGAAGAUAAACCGAUUCUCUGACCAUCCCUCGAGAUAGCCUUUGAUUCUCUUUAAGGAUCCGGGAGCCAUAUAAGGAUGAGUUAGCCGUAGGAUAUGAUCAACACUGCAUAUACUACCUAUAUAAAAUAGUGCGGAAAUAGCUUUACGUCUAUAACAAGUUAAUCAAGAACUAGUUUUUCAUAUAUAACUAGUUCCGUCUAUUAGUGGUUAUAUUACGUUUGGAUGAUAUAUUGAUGAGUUUGUUGAGAUGAAUAGUGGUAUUACCUUCACUUAGUUGAGGGAUACUAACAUCACCAUCUACACUGAGGAAUAUCUGAGAUUUCUCGGGCUUCACGACCAUGCCUCCACCACCACGUUCGAUCACUCAAAUACAUCCACUUAGAUUUACGUGCCUUAAGAUAUCUAGAAUUUGUGGACGGUCAAGACGAUAUGGAUCAUAGCGUGUUGAAGCUAGAAGGACAUUGGUGUCCCAUCUUGUAUAAAGAACGCCUUCAUACCGGCUCAGGACCUCCCUAUCGAAUUGAUGUUGCAAAAAGAGAUGUAGGAGCACGUCGCUCAAUUCACCUAUCAAUGGUAUACAAUUCGAAUGAGGAAUUUGGAGGUUAGUGUCAGCAUUAUAUAUCGGGUGAGAUAGAAAUUCCUUUAAGAUGUGGGAAAUCACACCCAGAUUGUGUAGACACUUUAAGGUAUUCCAUAGACGUGGAGUAGAAACAUACCGGAUACUAUGACUCAAAUACACACAAACUAUUUUCUCUACACCACUUUGACCAUCCCAGAACCUUUGGUGGUAAUCCAACAUUUCAUUAUAAUAAAAUAAUCUAGACGGAAGAUUGUUUCUUAUCACUAGAAACUCCCGCAUUAAGAUAUUAGCUAAUGCUUUAAAAAGUAGCACAUCUAUUGGAAGAGAUGGGGCAGCCAUACAAGGCCAAUCACCAUCAUUGAUGAGUGGGCGCCUGGCACAACAAUACCCGAGCUCAUCUUGCCUUUCCAGAGUGAAAUGUUCCCGCAAAGUCAUACCACCCCUACCAUAUUUAUAGGUUUUGUAUACCAAUUUGGGAUGAAAUAAAGAAUAACCUUCGUGUAUAUGCGACACCAUGGUAUCGAUUGAUGCGGGUAAGAUGCCCCGCUCUCUCCACAUAUCAUUCGAAUUAUAGAGUCUCCUGACCUCAUUAAUCAAUUGAAGUUUCCAAAAACUAGCAUGAAAUCUCCGGCGAAAAGUGACGUUGUGAUUACUUCUAGAUCCAAUGAAAACUUUCGAGAUAAUACAAAAAGUGGUCAUCAUUUCUUCCUCUUGGUAAGUUGGCUGGUUUCUUCCCAUUCUGUCUUCUUUCCACUAAUCUAAUGGUUUCAUUCUCCCAUCGAGAGGUUAUGAUACUAGCAAGAGUCCUAUUCUUAUCCUCUCGAUCCUACCUUGGGUUAUGUUUGACAGGGAUGGUCAGUGAACUUCUAUUGGUUUCAAAGGAGGAUAGAGAUCCAUUGGGGAAGGAUCGAAAGGUUAUUCGAUAUCAAAGGUUGACCCUCGACGCGCCGCAGCCACUAUUUUUACUCCUUUUAUGCAAUUAUGAACGAAACUUUCUCGAUUCCAAUGCAACUUAUCCUUUUGGAGUUGACGUAACAAACUACGCGAGCCUCCCGAUGAAGCCAACAGAAAUCCUACCGAAUACUAAAAAUAAAAGGCAAUUUCAUUAUGGUGGUAUACCAGCCGCCAGUUCUGGAACUUCCAGUUCCAAUUGGAGCAUAUAGAUCCGUAAAUGGAUUUGUAUGUAUAGCCACUUCAGUCGUGCUCCUCGUUUCUCGAAUGGAAAAAAAGUAUCUUCUUUCUGGGAACAUGCUAAACCAGAAAUUCUUAUGUUCGUGAUUCUUCAUCCACCGAUGCAGAAAAUCUUCCAGUUUUCCAUCCUCAUAUGAGGCAGGAAAGUUUAUGGGCAACAGGUCGGCACGAAGUGAUUUAUCAUGUUCAAACAUGAACCUUUCGCUCGUUGGGGACGGUUUAUAAAUCAUCAAAUUCCCACAAAUGGAAUGAGAAGUGGGUCCAUGUAAAUGAUCGAGACCUUGCAAACAACAACGUUCCUUCCCCAUAUGGAGUUUGGGACCCAAGGGCAAUCAUUGAGUGAACUGUAUCUUAUUCGUAUUAGUUGACCUAAGCCGCACCAUUAUUGCAGGGGUGGGGCUCGGCCUCCGAACCGUACGUGGGACGAGUUUCUGCCUCAUACAGCUCGGGCCGAAGACCGGGGAAGUUGAGGAGAGAUGGGGAGACCCAACUGCUGCUGGUCGGGACGGACAGGAAAGGGGGCGGGGAUAAGCUUGUGAAGAAGCAAGCUUAUUGCCCCACCCCCCAAAAACAAACUGACCCAGCAAGAAAAUGUAUGCGCUUUAGCAACAAAGCGCUCAUCCCUUGCUUGCUGCUUCGCGUUCUUUCUAUUCCAUCCCAGUCCAUUCCGGGAUAGGCGGCUAAUAGAAUCUAAUAUGUGCAGUGGUGGUCGUCUGACCAAUCGGCUCGGACACCAGACCACUUGUGCCCGCCCAUUCUGUCUCGCCCUAAAUGGAAUGGCUCUCUUAGUUACGCUGUGCCCCGACCCGAGUCCCCACGUCCGCUUUUAUCUGCCCGCAACCCGGCCAAACAACAUUAGGGCCGUCCCCCCCAUUCUAUGCUGACCCGGGCCGGGGCUCGCUUUUUGGGAAGCCCGUUCCCACCGCACUCACGGCCCGGCUGGCCUGCCAGCAGUAGUGGGAAUUCUCCCAUUCCCUGGUCAAAAAAGGGUUGGUUGGAUGCGGGAUCUACUCCACGAGGAGCGGUACGGACGUAGAUGAUAUCAUCACGACCUCUCUUUGCGUACUGCUAGGGAUGCUUAACGCCACUUCGCCAACUGGCAUUACCUGCGCUUUCGUGUCUCUCAGUGUGGUCAGCACUGGGUGUUUCCGAGCAGCGAGGCUUACACCCAUUCGCAUUAAUUCAUCCAAAGUUCCUUACCCUUAUGCAUGAAUUUUGGAAUAAGCCAUCUUCCUAUCAAGGUUAAGGAGUCAACUGAGCAUCUCAGCGGCGGGAUUGAAUACCCGGAUCGAAUCAGAGUUCACGCCGCCCGCCCUGAACAAAUAGAAUAUGAGGUGUGGGCCACAGGUCACACAUAAGCCAUCGGGUCGCACGACAGAAGAACACCCAACAUAAAGAUGCACACUCCUCCAUGUGAAAUAGAAAGAUCAUCUUCACUUUUUUGUAGUAGUCGUGAUCAACAGCCAUCAGCAGUCGGCUCGUUGGUAAGGCGAGAGCUUCAAGCCUACUUUCUGGUGGCACACCCCCUAAACAAGCACCACUCGACGAGGGGGGGGGGGGAAAGCUAUAGGCCCAAAACCUUCGACCCUUCUUUCUAUAUGGGGGUGCCCGGGGCACCUCAUCUUGUCAUUUUGUUGCUCAUUCCCCUUAGGCCGAAGUGUUUGGCCUUUACUUCGGAGCGCCCGCUCACGCUUCGCUGACCUAUCGCGUGGUAAAGAGAAGAGAGUAUGAAAGUAUUGUAAACAGAGCAGACCGCAGAAAGAUUCUAAAUAUGACAAGUCCCCCAUGGAUUCGAUAAUAAGGAAAUGAAGAACAGGAACGAAACGAAAUAAAGCAUUUCUAGCGGAUGAGCUUCUCUCCAUUUUGUCUGGUAAUAGAAUAGGGCGGCUUGCUUUGACCAACACUCCACUUUUUGCUCUAUCCAUGGAUCGUAUGAAUUUCCUUAAAUGUAGAUAGACCAAAAAAGGGAAUAAAGGGAUAGGAAUAGGAAUUAUAGUACCAUUGGAAGAAGAGGCACCGGUGGGAACAUCUCUACUGACGAACCAUUUCAAUAGUACGGGUGCUGCCGUGCCACAGGGCAUGACCAUGGAAGUAAUGAAAAAGAAGAAGUUCUGUAGUUGGACCAUCUGCUCUAUCCGUUCGAUUUGAGCUUCUCUAGAGAAGAUGAUACGCUAAAAAUGAAAGUGUUCGCAACACAUACCGAAAAAGGGUACCUAUGUUGCCGACCAUUGAUGACUAGUUCGAAGACCAGGAGCAGGGGCACGUGCCAAGAAAGAUUUGUUACUUUCCCUAUGGUUUUCGAACGUUUUCAAUAAAACCUUCUCGUAGAAGUAUUUUCACAAAGUUUUCGGUAAUAUUAGUAGAUGCUAUUCGAACCCUUUCUUUUAUUAAGAUUCAAAUUCUUAUUCUUAUUAUUAUCUAAUUAUUCUUUUUUUUCAUGUAUAUGCGUCAGACACAAUCUACUAAUUGAUCUAUAUUCUGAUACCCUACUAUAUCAUAGUCUCUACUACUAGUAUUUUUAAUACCUCAGGAGCUCAUGAGACUCUUUUAGUGAAAUUCGUAAGUCUCAAUUCCCGAGUGAUCGCACCAAAAACUCGAGUUCCUUUUGGAUUUCCUUCUUGAUCAAUGACAACCGUCAUCAUAUCGUAUUAUCAUACCGUUGUGACGUUUGAGUUCUUUACAUGUACGUACAAUUAUAGCUCGUCUUACUUCUGUCUGAUCUUUCUAGAGGCAUUUUGGGCACUGCUUCUUUGAUUACAACAACAAUAACGUCACCAAUAUGAGCAUAUCAGUGAUUACCAGCUCCUAAGAUUCAAAUACAUAUCAAUUCGAUAUCCCCACUCUGUUGUUAUCCGCUACAUUCAAAAGGGUCUGAGUGAGAUGGAUCUUGGAAGUCUGGUUUUUGAUUGGAUAGUGAUCUCGGGCACGAGUGGUUGAUCUUCGCGGGCCGUGAAUGGCCAUGGAAAAGAGUAUUGAUGACAAUAUGUUCGAUCGAGAAGAUUGGACGAUGAAAGACGGAUCCUUUGUGGUUUGAAUAAUAGGCUGUGGUCUCAAUAUUGGGCUAUGGGCUGAGUGCUUUCUGUAUGAGCCUCUAGUGAUUGGGCUCUCGUGGGCGGAUUACCCGAUGUGUACUCAUCUUCCAACAAAGAGGAGAAGACAUAACCAGAAGAAUUGUGAGAAAUAAGUUAAUUUAUCAAGUUGAGGCAUUUCGAUUUGGAUUUCAAAUAAGAAAGACAGAAAAAGACUCCUGCGCCCUCGAGAGCAUUCUCUUUCACUUGCAUUUCUUCCUGAAGUUGGCUCGAAGACCUGUCCAGCCUUGAUUUUCCCAGUUAUUAAUCAAGCGCGCUGAGGCAACUCUGAACUAAGCUUAGGGGAGGGGUAGUAGGUAUGCUUCAAACCCUCCGGCACCUUGAAGAACGAUGUCACUAGAUCGGGAAAGAUGAAUGACCAAUGAGGACAGGACAAUGGGGGAAGUUGGUAAUAGAGAAUCCUCCCUUCUUCUUUGCUUUCUUUCCUGAAAAAAUCCAAAACUAACCAUUGGAACCUCAUGGGAUACCGAGUUAGGAGAUUCAUUUUCUUUAUUACUUUUACUUUUUUUACUAAGUUAUUCUAAAAGAUAAGAGCUAACCGACCAUCCUGAUUGAAUGUUUGAGUACCCGGAGUCUCUCGUAAGUAUGGAAAGAAAGUCUCUUCUUUCCACAACUCCUAAAUUUCCCAUCAGCCUAUCCAAUCUAAUUCCAGACAGAGUCAGUAGACCUUACUUUAGUGUAGGUAGUGUCAGAUAAUUAGGAAGUCUUGAUAGUCUUUCAUAUAAUCUCUUCUUCAAUCCUAGGAGCAAAAAAGGAAUGUCCUUUAGGGACCUUUGGAUAAAAAGAUUUCCGACCUCUUACUUUCGUAGUUAUGAAUUGCGGAAUAGAAUCAAUUAUGAAAUUCAUAAGUAUAUAUCCCUCAUCCCUAUUGGUAUCGGUUUGGGCCACUACCCAGAACCCUGCCAGAGCCCUAUUUUUAAGAAGAAAUUGACAGUCUUUUUUAGAACUAGAACUAUGGUAAAAUCCAGUAUCAACACGCCUAGUUCUUUUCCUUUGCUUAUGCAGGGCAAGAAUUUGUCGAGUUCAAUCAAUACAAUAAGAAAUCCUAAGUAUUUUUUUGGUCAGGCGACACCCAUAUUUGAACUGGGGAUAAAAGAUUUGCAGUCCCCUGCCUUACCGCUUGGCCACGCCGCCAAAUCCGAUCCAAAAUCGAGCACAAUCUUAUCCAUCCACAUUAUUUUACUAAUUUUUAUUCGUAGGAGGGGAUUAUUAAACCCUUUUUGAUUUUUUUAGAUCGUUGAAUCCCUUUGUACUUAUCCCUUUCCAAUCCCUUUUUAAUAAAUUCAUUCCUGUUUUUUAUUGGACCCAGUUUUAUUCUCUUCGAUUGACUGUAUCUCAAAACACACAUUGCUUAAAUACCUUCUCUUUCUAUUGAAAAGAGAAAGGAUUUCCAGUCACAGACUGCCAAAUUUAGGAAAAAUUGGAACCAUUAACUAUAUUAUUUGUUACUAUUUGUUAUUUUGAUAAAUUCUAUUUGUUAGUAGUGAGCAGUUCUAAAAUGGGUAUUGUAUCCCAAAUAGUGUUUCCUUAAUGGCAUAACAAAAUCAAAUUGAUUUACGGCUAAUCAGUAUCAAUUAAAAAAAGAGAAUUAUGAUAUUGAUAUAGUGUGACCCGACCCCUGUUGCUCCAAGUGCAAUUCUUUCUAGGGUUCUUAAAGAUAUUCUCCAUUUUUUCCCUUUCCCUACAAUAAAGUAUAGUCUGAAGGCUAGCACGCACCAUUCCUCGCUUAUGAUAAUCUAAGGCCAAAAAGAAAGAAGGCUCACACCAUAAUAAUAACCUUUUGCCUCGAUCGUCAAGGUUGUGGAUUUGGAUCGAUUUCAGUUUUACGGGCUUCAUACAUUGUUAAGAAAAGUACUCGGCAUUGGAAAGCAUCAUGUUUUGGCCACACACAAAAGAAGUCGGUGGAAGGUAUGGAAUUUCUCGGCUGAAGGUUAGAAAGAAAGCAAUCACCAGUGCUCUCGGUUCCAGCAACGAGUCUUUUCUCUGAGAAUUAAGGAAAACAAACUAACCUUGUCUGUCUAUGUUCACCUUGACAUGAAAGACUCUUUUCCUAACCUGACUGUUCUACCUGGCUAGUUCACUUCACUUUUCGAGGGAUCCUGGAUUGGAGUUCACUUGUCUGUGAGUGUCCGAACAGCUUCAGAUCCUUCCAAGGCGCAGGGGUUCUCUCUCCAUUCACUUUGAGCUGGGUUUCUUGUGAUCUUUUUAGUAGUUUUUCCGUCCAAUUUUAUGGUAAAUUAUGUCUUACACAACUGUCCCCAAGGAUGUCCAUUCCAUUCGGCAGGGACUCCAUCUCGCAUUCAAUCUCCCUCCUUUCCCUGAAAGAGCCGAGGUCUCUCUGGACUUCUCUUUUGCCUCUCUACCAGAUUCAGAAAAAGGGAGGAAGAGGGCCUCUCGACGGGAGUGAUUCCCCGAAAAGAGAUCGUUCCCAGCAUCCUCGAGUUCGUAGUCAAACUCACCUUCAUCCACCUUUCAUGGACUGGCGCGGGCAAGCGCCGAUGUCUGGAGCAGGAGAUGGAAGCUUGGGUUGAGGAGGCUGUCAACGAGUCAUCAAAGGCAAUAGAUUGGUUAUAUUCGGAUUCGUUUGAUUUUGAUUUUCUUUUUUUUGGUUGUGAGAGGUCUGAGUCCGCAGCUGGGGAAGAGUCGUCAGAUGACAAUUGAAGUAGGGGUCUGCCUCUUUCAAAGGGAAGCAAGAGUCUCAUAGGGAAGGAGAUCCUGCAUAGACCAAUCCCAAUCAGGAAGAGAGUCUUGUUGUCAAUGAAAGCAAUUUUUCUAUGUCACAUAUCUGCCUAUCUCGUGUUGUGAGCUAUAAAGUACCCACCAGGGGGGAAGGGGGUGGACCAAGAAAGAGGUAGGCAAUUGGGUCCUUCCCAUCCUCUGUGAUGUCAGUCUCUUUGUCAUUCUUUUCACCCUUGCUGAGUAGCGAAGUGAGCAUACUCAAGAUCCAAUUCAUCAAUCAUUUGAGUUGGUACGAACAUAGGAAUCCAGACUCCGCUUGAUUCGAUCUUCAGUUUCGACCUUCAUCAGUCAGGAAAAAGAAGAAGGACCCACUUAUUCCACUCGGAGAGAUCGAACCAGGCAACAAAAAAAAGAAAAACUGAAGGAAGUUCUCUUUCCAUUCCAACUAAACUAAGUGAAAAAAGGGGGAGAGCAAAACAGAAACACAGGAACAAAGAAACUAUGUCCAAACCAACGAGUCCUUUGGUCGACUCUAAAGAAUGUAUCGGGAGUUGGGAGUUAGCCGUCUCAUAGGAGUGAUAGCUGGGUUUUUCACGGAGUUUCUUCGUACGAUUGAAAUAAAGAGUGCUCUAGGUCAGAGAAAACAAGAAGAAGAUUGUUCACUAGUCUGUCUCCCAACCUCUUUAAAGCAGCUACCUACCGUGAUCUGGUCUUGGGACAGCAUUGGCACCCCCGUUUGCUGGAUCUUCUAGGCACUCUAAAGCGCUUCCACGAGUGACAGAUGGACUUUGAGUUAUAGACGGAGAAGAGCCUUUAGAGGAUCAAGAGUGAUUCCUCAAUAAAACAAAUGGGAUUUUGAGGGAGGGCUGAACGCGAUGUACUGAAGGGUUCGCUUUCGCUGAUCGGCGCCGGUCUUUCCUGCUGUGAAUUUCCCAGGUCGGGAGGGGCCCUUUCCUUCUACCUUAGUGAACCCAUUCACCAAUGAUUGGAUCACUCAAAGCUAAAGACCAAUUCCUUCCUUUUAGGUGGUCUAGGUGGCUGGGAUACUAUGCCCUUCUUUUUAGAGGCUCAAAGACGAGAUCUUUGAAGGAAGCAAAAGAACCCAUGUGUCUCGAAUGAAGUCUACCCUCUUUUUGUGCCAGGAAGAAGAAUGAGAUCCAAUUCAAAGUCAAGGAAAGCGGCCUAGACCACUGACUUUUGAUGGAAGGCUUCUGAACAUGGAUUGGUCUGAUAAAGCCAAUUUUUCGGCGAAUCAAAUAUUUUCUGAGAGCACUAGACCUUCUCUCUUUCAGGAUUGAUUAUCACUCACUGCCUGAUAGCAGGCUUGGCCCAUGAGACCUAUUGUCUUAUUGUACUGGCUCACUUCACUACUUUGGAGGAUGGGUUUUUCCCCUUUUUGGUUCGCAAACGCUCUAACCCAUCAAGAAGCUCCAUCCAAAUUGGAGUUGAUGUGAGCACUUCCCCAGAGGCAGAGGCUUUUUCUACAAAAGGAUGGGAGCACAAAAUGUAGGUGAGUCAAUUGCGUGUGGCCUUCAAGUAUUUCAUAUUGAAACAAUAUUAGAUCGGCAUCCAAACAAAGGUGCAUGUACGGUUCCUAAGGGAUACAAUUUUGUCCUAAUCAUCGAGAAAGAUGAAAUAAGUUGAUAGCGCGAUCUCGUACCAACACAUACUCUCUAAAUAUUUUAGAACUUGCAUGCGGCCUUCAAGCCACAACCGCGGUAUGAGUUCUGAUGUCAGACUUUGUUUUGGGGGCUGCUGGCCCCUUCGCAUCGACAAGGAAACUGUGGACGACAAUGGGUUUAGAAUUCGAAUAAAAUGAACACCCUAUCGAACAAAUAGAGGAAAGGGCGGAAAGGGGAAAAAGUAAAGUCUAAGCGACAUAUGGCACGAAAAGGAAAUCCAAUUUCGGUAAGACUUGAUCUGAAUCAUAGUUCAGAUCCAAGUCGGUUCAGUGAGGGCGACCGCGAAAGUCACCGAAUGGGUUCGGUCCGUCUUUUCCUGAUCGUUGUUUGUCCCCCCAAAAAAGGCAUGAGAGGACGUUGCAGAUGUCCGGGACGGACACGACUUCUUCUAACGCUAGAAGACCACAUGAAGAAACCCGGGACCAAAGCAUGUCAUGAAAGACGCACACGGGGCGGGCGUGCUUCGACCGUGUGCACAGUUGAAUGUAGAUAUCAUGAACGCGAGGAUAAGGAUACCAGGCCGAGAAACCCGGGCAAGUACUCCCCUAAUGUGCCGAUCGCUAGCGCAUCCAGGGCCCCGGCGCCCAGCUCUGCUGGAGAGGCCGUCACUGAUCUGAAAAGUGCGUCUGCAAUUCGGAUAGACUGAUUCUGCGAAUGCCUAGCCCCAGGAAUCAAUAAAAAAACAAGUGCUAAGUUUCAUUUCAGAUCAGUGAAUAAACCAAAAAAGAGACCUUUCUCGCUCGAGGCCACACUAUGCUCCGCUUCAACAAAUGAGAGUUUUCGGUGGAACCGGUGAACCACGCGAGCUGGUUAGAUGCGUGGGGCAGAGGGCUCGUAGUACCUGAUAGCGCAGCUAUGCAGUGGAAGGGAAGGAGCCUAAAUCGACCCCCUUCUUUCUUUUUUAUUCAAAGACACAAAAGCAAGAACAAAAGAGAUUGGACUCUCGGAUGAGACUAAGCAGCUACCGUUCCGACGUGCCCCUGACCCUAUCUUGAUUCAAACCAAAAACCCUCUCUAAGGUGGAGCCUAGUUGAAGCUAUCUUCAAAGAAUAAAUGGGAAUCCAAAUCCACUUUUAGGGAUAUAGAUGAAGUCUCGCUCAGUAAAGAGAGUUGUAGAUUCAUAGAAGAGGAUCAGAGUACGCGCGCUACAAAAGGCAGCUAGCCAAUGAAAGUAAGUGGAAAGAAUAUAGUACUUUUGUACUGACCCCUCCGGGGCCCCCGGUUGUUUUGGCGCGCCCUACUCCAACGUUUGACUAUUGGCUUUUUAGCCUACGCUUGCUGCUUGCAGCAUGGAUUCGAUAGAUCUAUCGAAUCCAUGCUUCCCCCGCCCUGAAGCGAGACUCUAUCCAGAUCUCAAAGAAUAACGAGCUAGGCGGCCGGCGGGCAAAGAAAGGGGGCGGGGUGUUUACUUGAAAAUGACAACCGCCUGUUCCAGCAGCGGGGGCCUUGCACGAAAGCAAACCUACGAUUAAGUAGCAGUUGCUUUCGCUGAUGGGCCCAGUGAGGGGGGGGGCAUUGUCCCUCAGUUCUUACCAACCUCAGGUGUGUACAUCUAACUUAUUAUCUUCUUUUUUCAUGCAAGCCUGACCUCAGCUAUCCAUUUCUUAUUCAUUCAGGGCGCCCCUAGUGGACUUGGCGGUGCUCCUUUCUCAAAUCAGAACAACUCUGAAUGUUAGGGAAAAUAAGGGAAGACCACCUGAGCGAACCGACCGAAGGGACUUUACUUAUCCGAACCGAACGUUAGCGGCUUAAGCUAAGCCUAUCACGAGCUGCGUUGCUGCUUGAUCGGUGGGGAGGAAGAUCUCAAAGUAUGGGGCUAAGGAUCAAGCGCUUUGACUUUGCUUUGUCCCUCGGGAUCCACCAUAGGUUGGGUUUGAGAGCAGUGUGAUGGGUGACUAUCUAGCACGGUUCAGAGAGCACGUGUAUGUGGUUUGCACUGGUGAAUGGAAGCCCCCGCCGCAAAAAAGAAGCGGCUCUUCCCACGGCUCUGUCACCAUUGACUCUAUUUAUUAUUAUGGUAAAUCAUUGUAUCAAGAUGUCAAUCUUAGAUCUUAUUUUAGUUCAAUACGUCCACCUACGAAACUCGCCCUUGGCUUUCGUCUCGGUAGGUGUAUUAUUCUACAUUUUCCCAAAAGGACAUUCAUUCAUUUAUUUCUUCCCGGGCGAUCACCACGACUAAAACAAAAACAAGACAAGAAAUCAAGCCCCGUACUACAGGAAAAGGGCUGGUGGCCGACAUUUGGGAAAGUCGGGCCGAUCGGGUGUCUUCAUUCAGGCGAUGGUACAGAGGAAGAACGAAACGAAGUGAGAGGCCGGGGGGCAGGGAAAAGAGUCGAGUCGAUCGACCAGGAGAAGCAAAACGAAAUCCGGAUUUGGCCGAAAAAGAUGCAACGUUAUGGAUACCAUGACCGAUCACCAUCGAGAAAGAAGAAUUUUGAUAAAUCACUUCGGGUGAGCGGGGCCUUCAAGCGGCCUCAAUACGCCGGGGUUGUAAAUGACAUACCUUUCCUUAUGGGAAAUGCCGCCUCCUUACUAAAAAGGAAUAGAAUCAAGUUAUUUUUACCAAAGAAGUCCCACUCCGAUGACUCGACGAGUCAUCUACUAAAAAGGACCCUCCCCGCUGUGCGCUCCUCCUUGAAUUAUUCGGUCAUGCAAUACUUUUUUAAUACUAAGAAUAAAAUGCAUUUCGACCCCGUCCUAGUUCUCAAUCAUUUCGUGGCACCGGGCGUGGCUGAACCAUCUACGAUGGGUGGAGCGAAGGGAGGAAGCUUAGAUAAGAGAAUACGCUCUUGCAUCAUUUUUUUUAGAAAGCUCUACCAACAAGAAAAAGUGUUUGGCCCGAGCCAAAAAGAGGUUGAUCCACUUCAUUCGCCAAGCGAAUGAUCUUCGCUUCGCGGGAACAACAAAAACCACCAUAUCGCUCUUUCCUUUCUUUGGUGCUACCUUCUUUUUUCCAAGGGAUGGGGUUGGGGUGUAUAAUAACCCUUUUUUGAGUAUGCCCGGAAACAACUCCUAGCUCAAUUUAGGAUCAAAUGUAGGAACCUCAUGGGUAAGGAUAAGGUAAUGGAAUUGAUAGAGAAAUUCAUAGACCUAGGUAGGAUAGGAAAAUUGAUAAAGGGAAUAGAGAUGAUGAUAGAGAUCAUACUAAGAAAGAGGAUAAUUCCGUACGGGUACAACUCUUAUUUGAACGAAGUGCAAAAAAUGCGAUCUUUUUUGUCUAAUAGAACAAACGCUAAUACCUUAAUUGAGUCGGUAAAGAUCAAAUCUGUUUAUCAAAGUGCUUCUCUGAUUGCUCAAGACAUCUCUUUUCAACUGAGGAACAAUCCAAUCUCAUUUCAUUCCAUUUUUAGUAAAAUAGUGAAGGAUAUUCCAUUAAUAAUGCCAAAAGGGGUGGAGGGGAUACAUAUUUGUUGUUCUGGUCGAUUAGGGGGUGCGGAUAUAGCUAGAACUGAAUGCGGAAAGUAUGGAAAAACAUCUUGUAAUGUAUUUAACCAGAAAAUUGAUUAUGCUCCUCUGGAAGUAUCUACUCGUAACGGAAUUUCAGGUGUCAAAGUGCGGAUCUCAUAUAGUCAGAAUAAGAAGGGACGUGCUAUAUCCGAAACGUACGAAAUAUAGUAAAUAUUUUAAAUGCAGAUGUAGUAGGGGUCGCGAACCGGAUGGUACACAACUUGGUUUUGGAAGAUAUGGCACCAAAAGUUGUAGAGCUGGUCGCCUUUCAUAUCGAGCCAUUGAAGCAGCGCGUCGGGCUACAAUCGGACAAUUCCAUCGUGCUAUGAGCGGACAAUUCCGAAGAAAUUGUAAGAUAUGGGUAAGAGUUCUCGCAGAUCUUCCUAUUACGGGGAAACCCGCAGAAGUUCGAAUGGGAAGAGGAAAUCCAAUUUCGGUAAGACUUGAUCUAUCAUCUUAUUCUUUUUGUUUCUUUUUGGGGGGAGUGAUAAUAGUUCUCAUUGUGAUUGCGGCUGUAGUUUUAGAUCCCUCUUUGAUCGUGACAGAUCAAGCUAGGGAACUAAUCAUGGAAUGGAUUCUCUCGCUUACCCAAUCUUUUUAUCACAUUCUACGGGCCCUUUUCGAAGAAAUGCGUAACACCUUGAGUGGACGGGAGCGCUAUGCCCCCCUGGUAGGAACAGAGCUGCUGGCAAAAAAAACUCCUUCGCGUUCGGAGGAGGAAACCUCCAAGGCGGCAUACAUUCAUCUAAUGCUAUCUGAUGAGAGUGAUAGUGAGAGCGUUAACCAACAAAGGAGUAGGAGCGAUGUGCCUCCUUUAACUAUUGACUUGAACCGACCGACUCAGGAUCAGGAAGAUAUUCGGCAAUAUGCCGAAUCAAUAAAGGAAUUUCGGAUUGAUGAGAAAUUCAAGAAUUUCAAAAGGAAUGAUUCCACUUCCCCGCUCUAUGAUCAAUUAUGCGCCUACGUCGGAGAUGCUGAUGUUGUUAAAAACCAGUGUAUCUGUGAGAUCUCAGAGAACUUUCAUGCAACAGACGCUGGGUUAAUUGAUUUCGUCAAUCGGACGGAUGAUACUGAAGGGCAAAGAAGAGUCAUAUGGGAUCUUAUCAAGCUUCAUUUCUAGGAUGAGCUUGAUAAGAUCCCACCCGAACUACAACAAAAUGAAAAUCCAGAGGAGGAAUGAAUGGUAUGGUAGCCAUCAUCAUCAUUCUCUUUUUCAUUAUAAAGAUAAAGGGCUUGCUUCAUUCGAAGAGUUAGUUGGCCGGCCUACCGGCCCGCAGAUGUAGAGACAGAGAUAGAGGUUGCCUCUCUUCUUGAACUGCAAAAUCAAAGGGACGCUUGGAAAGAAGGGAACGCACGACUCUUAUCUGGUUCGAAUCCAGUUCGUCCCGGCCGGCCACAAAGACUACACCAAACUAGACUAACUAUGAGUUUAUGAAAGCGCAGAAAAAACGAUAACUAUAUAUGGGAAUAUGAAAGCAAGAACUACUAAUUGUAAAAAUUACAAUCANNNNNNNNNNNNNNNNNNNNNNNNNNNNNNNNNNNNNNNNNNNNNNNNNNNNNNNNNNNNNNNNNNNNNNNNNNNNNNNNNNNNNNNNNNNNNNNNNNNNNNNNNNNNNNNNNNNNNNNNNNNNNNNNNNNNNNNNNNNNNNNNNNNNNNNNNNNNNNNNNNNNNNNNNNNNNNNNNNNNNNNNNNNNNNNNNNNNNNNNNNNNNNNNNNNNNNNNNNNNNNNNNNNNNNNNNNNNNNNNNNNNNNNNNNNNNNNNNNNNNNNNNNNNNNNNNNNNNNNNNNNNNGUUUCAUAUAUGCACUAGGAUAUAUAGAGUAUCCUAUCCCCCUCAAUCUCAGGAGUCGCUUUCUCUAUGCCCGACUUAUGAGCUCUUUGCUUAUUAUUUAUCGGGUGGGAUGAGGGUCGAAAUGUCUAGUUUGAAUUGCUUAUGCUUAUAUAGUUUGAAUCGUCUAGCUUCAUACCAAGGUUGUUCUACAAAAGAACCAAGUAAGAAAGUAAGCCCAUUCAAUUGAAAUAGCUUCCUCGCUUCGCAGUUCGAUACCCACUGAAACUAUGGAUACGAUAGACUCGGGAGGGGUAAAGGGUUACUUUAUUUGGGCUGCUAAGUCUUUCUUGUUGAUUCCGGAAAUAAAGAGGACCUUCUUAAUCCUUUGUGCUCCACAUCCGCCUCACUGGACCUAUCCAUUCGAGCUCUCUCCUCUAAUCCCAACUCGACACGGCUGGACGACGACGCAUGUUCACUUAUAAUAAAAUCACACGUUAAGCCCGAUGAAUUAAUCUACAAUUUAUGGAUUUGUUGGUUUGGCAAGGCAGAACCAGGGCCCUUCCAUUAAGGUUAUAUUAUAGUUUCGAUAGGAGAGAUGCAGACCAGAUAGGAAUGCAAGAAUACUCUGUAAAUUGUUUAUUAAUCGGUUUAGUCUGUGGAAGAGAAGUCUCGAUCUAGAGGAUUGCCCCCCCCAGUCUGACCUAGUUGUCCUUGACUUGCUUCGGAAAGAAAAGAUCUAGUACUUGUUUACCUUGACCAUGGCUACUUUCCCACCGCCUUUCCUUCUAUACUUUUCCUAUGUGCUAUCCCAGGCAUCCCUUGUCAAGCUACCUAUCCCUACGAAAAAGCAAGCCUAUUUACUACGUGUUUUCCUCUAUUGGCAAAUACGCAUAUACU